GCAAAUCCAAUGGUGGUCCUCGAUGAAAUCAGCUAUUUAUAGACUAUCCUGAGCCUGAAAUGGGUGGAAAAGAGGGUGGUGAGAUUAUAUAAUCCCAAUGAGUAAACAAAUACCAUCUAAAAUAUCUAAAGCCGAGUAAAUGGAGACAAAUAAAAUAGUUUAACGUAUUGUAAUUCAUUACCUUUCAACUUGUUUCAACCAAAUAAAAUCAAUUCAUAUAAAUCGAGUAAUCAACAUAGCUUAUGAAUUUCUUAAAAGCUUGGCUCAUGCCAAGAUCAUUUUCAUACUCAGUUAUCAGGGAUACCUUGAUCGAGGGCUAUCUCAAUCGAGUCUGCCAAGGCUGUUAAAAAGUUAUGUACGCAUAAAUCAUGUUUUUAUUUUGAAAACAUAGCCGUUCCUUGGUGUUGGCUGAGUUCACCCUCACGUGGUGGUUUGGCAUGAAGUGAACUCUAAAAGUUAUACCUCGAGGGUUACCUUACUCGCCUCUCCAAUCGAGGUAAAAUAUAAUGGGAUUUCGUGCCCUUCUAAUAGGCUGGUCCACAGAAAACCCGCCCACUACAGCAAGCUAAACCCAUCAUAUAAUAAAAUUCAACAAUAGCAUGACAUGGCAAUUAUUUUAUUUUAUUUUACGGCCUUUCAAGGCAAAUCAACAAUUUAUACAUUUCCAACAUAUUUAUCAAAUCAACCAUUCAUGCCAAUAUUGCCAUAAGCCAAUCAAUUAGUAUCAUGAAUUUACAACACACAAAAACAGUCUCCAAUUACUCUAUUUUCAAACCAUCAUUCAAUUUAAAAACAAUUUUAUGAAAUCAUUUCAUUAAAUCACAUUUUGUUUAUAAAACCAAAAAAUUAAUCAUUUAAUUCAUUUUCCAUAAAAUUCACAAAAUCGAAUAAAACAUACUUUAGAUAAUUAAGAUGAUGAUAAGGUUACUCACCUCACAAUAGCGGGAUUACUACGUCACUAUUGAUUCGUAUGCGUGUAUAAUUAUUCCUAAUUGCCAAUCAUAUACUUCGUUCGUCACGCUUCCACAACAACUUUCCUAGCAAUAAUUUAAACCCAAUACACUUAGUGCAUCAAUUCCACUUCUCUCUCUCAUUCUAUCAUAAAUCCACAUUAUUUCUCCUCAUUUCUUCCAAUAUUUACCAUUCAACUUAACACUCUCAACCAAAUUAUGUAUCUAAAUUCCUUCGACAUCAAUAAUUCUUCACAACGAAUCAUUUAAAAUUUCUUAACUUCAUUCGAGCACUACUCGUAAAUUUCACAUUUUCUUCUUUACUUUAGUACUAUGACACCUCCUAAUAAAAUAUUUAAAUAUUAUAUUAAAGUAAUUUAAAUUUAAUUCAUAUGACUAAUAACCAAAAAUUUAAUUAAACAAAUGGCUAACUUAAAAUAAUACAAUUUCAUAAUAGGCCAAAUAAAAGCAAAGAAAAUUUUCUUUACCUAUUUAGACUAGAUUAGUCCAAGUCCAAUUUUUUUUUUCACCUUUAUUCUCUCUUAGCCUUUUCCUCCUUUAUGGCUAUUGAGCCCUUUUUAUGAUCUCUCCCUAACUUUUUUCUAUUGGGCCAUGCCCAUUUUUCUUUCUUGUUGGGCCAUGCCCACUCUUUCUUUUUUUCUUUUUCUUUCCUUUCCUUUUCUUUUCUUUUCUUUUCUUUUCUUUCUUUCUUUCACCAUCCAGCAGCACCUUGCUUGUCUUUCUUUUUCUUUUCUCACAUGCACAAGCUGUCCACAAUUUCUUCCUCUCUCUCCCUCUCACUGCCGGCCACAAUUCCUUGCUUCUUUCAACCAAUAAUUUUUUCAGCAACCAAAGCUACUCAUAUUGACUUCAAAAUCAGCAGCUAAGCUGCUCUAUUUCUCCUCAAAAAUCAGCAGCUUAACUGCACUAUUCUCACUCAAAAAUUAGCAGCCAAAGCCACAAAGAUUAACAACCAAAACUGCACCUUUUAGCCUUCAAAAUUAGUAACUAAAACCAUACCAUUCAGCCUUCAAAAUCAGUAGCAAAAUCUACACUUUUCAGCCUUCAAAAUCAACAGCAAAAGCUGCUCCUCUCACCCCUUAAAUUGACAGAAAAAUAGCUCUAUUUGCCUCCCUAAAUGGCAACAAAACCACCCCCCCUCAACUCAGCUCUUCCACCUUCCUUUUCUUCCUCACCUCUCGACCUUUUUUUGUUUCUUUUUGCUUUUUUUGCUCACGCCUUCUUCUUGUUUCCUUUUCUUCUCUUCACUAACCGACUUUUCUCUUCCUCAUUGUCUUCUUCACUUUUCUUAUUCAAUUAUAUAUAUAUAUAUAUAUAUAUAUAUUUUCUUGAAUCUUCUAAAUUUGGCCCGACCCCCCCAUCUUUCUUUCUUUCUUCAUUUUUAUUCCACAUGGCCGGCCUCCCCCAUCCAUUAAAUAAGUUAAAGAGUCUUUUGACUCUUGUUAUUGACCACAUGCGCAGCUGCCCAUGUUGGUAUUCCCUUAGUUAUUUUAUUUAUUUAUUUUUAUAUAUACAUACUUGUAUUAUUAUUUUUACUAUUUGUUUAUUUUAUCUCUUCCAUUUAAUUUCUCUACAUAAUCCUUCAACUUUUAUAUUUUAACUUCGAUCCCUUUGAUGCGUCUAAAAACUUCAAUUUUCAUCUAUCUUCCUUUCUCUGUACUUGUACCACCAAAAUAUCAAAAUUGCACUUCAACGCGAUAUUACCAUAAUAUUUAAAUAUUUACUUAUUUGCGUUGGCUCGACUUAGCAAAACAUGCGUAUUUUACUUUUGUCGCUCAUUCUCCAAAAAUUUGCUUGUAUUUCUUCUCCCCCGCUUGGAUCAACCAUAUGAUCCUUCUUCAUGACUGAUUUCGACAUCUGGUUAAAUAUUAAUAUUUUAAUAUUAUUUUAUUCUAAAAAUUUUCUCGUCUCCUUGGUACCCAAAAUACCUUAUUAUGCCUAAAUGACUACCGAAUCACCUUUUUAUCUCACAAAUUCUCCUCCGAUAAAAUAUUAUUAUUUUUUUAUUAUUUUCUCGUGUGCAGAUUAUUUUAUCUUAAACUACUCUUUUCAUCUUCCAUCAUGUUUAAACAUUAUAAUUGGCCUCAAUUCGCAUCCGAUAAGCUUUAUUUGUCACCAUAUCAAAGUAUGGGGUAUUAAAUCCUACACCUUCUCCACCACCUACCGGUAUUUCUAGUAUUCCUGCCAUGUCUCUUGAGGUAGUUCAGGCAUUGGCAGCUUUUCUCACUACUAUUACUGGCCAGGCUCAGGCUGGUCAAGCUCCUCCUGCUGUUUCUCCAUCCGCACCUCCAGUGCCACCACCACCACCACUUCCUGUUCCACCACAGGUACUUGAUGUCUCUAUUUCUAAGAAACUUAAGGAGGCUAGGCAGCUCAGUUGCAUUUCUUUUAAGGGUGAUUUGGACGCAACCGCAACUAAGGACUGGAUCAUUCAAUUUUCUGAGACACUUAAUGAUAUGAGACUAGAUGAUGAUAUGAAACUGAUGGUGGCCACUAGAUUGCUUGAGAAGAGGGCCCGUACUUGGUGGAACUCAGUGAAAUCUCGUUCUACCGUUCCUUCGACCUGGUCAGAUUUUCUGCGAGAGUUCGACGGCCAGUAUUAUACUUAUUUUCAUCAAAAGGAAAAGAAAAGAGAAUUCUUGAGUCUGAAACAGGGGAGUUUGACAAUAGAGGAGUAUGAGGCUCGUUUUAACGAGCUAAUGUCUUAUGUGCCCGAUUUGGUGAAGACUGAGUUGGAUCAGGCUAAUUACUUUGAGGAAGGGCUUCGGAAUGAAAUUAGAGACUGUAUGACAGUGAUAGGUAGAAAGCCGUAUAAAGAGGUUGUGCAGAUGGCUCUACGGGCUAAGAAACUUGUGACUGAGAACAAAAAAAUUUAGGCCGAGUUUGCUAAAAGGAGGAAUCAGAAUAUAUCUUCCAACCAGCCCUCGAAAAAGAGGAAGGAUUCAUCUACUUCAAGGAGUGUUACCACUUCUUCAGUAGCAUCUACUUGACCCCCAUCUCAACAGCCACAACAGAAGUUUUCUAGAUUCAGUAGAUUAGCGGUGAAUGCUCUUGGGAAGAGUUUUGGGAGUUUUGACAAAUAUCGAAACUAUGGAAUAUCUCAUGCUGGGCCGUGUAGAGAGCCAGUGAGUUGUUUCAAUGUGGUCAAUAGGGCCAUAUGAGGAGUGCUUGCCCGUAGUUAGGACAAGCUAUUGCAGCUACUUUAUCUCCCCAAGCUCGCACAGAUAUUCAGAUAAGAGAUUCUUCUGAGUCACAACCGAGACAGGGUGUAGCGAUGCGAUCUGGUGUGGGGAGUAAUACCUGGGCACAUCCACUUUCUAGAUCGUAGACUCAUACCCCGACUAGAGUUUUUGCUGUGACAAAGAAAGAGGCACGAGUCCGACCCAAUGCAGUGAUAGGUACCAUGUUUGUAUUUGAUAGAGAUGCUUAUGUCUUAAUUGAUUCUAGUUCGAAUAGAUCUUAUGUGAGCACGACAUUCGCAUCCUUUUUUUAUAGAAACCUGUCACCUUUAAAGGAGGAAAUUGUAGUUCAUACCUUUUCAUGAGAGCAAUUAGUUAGAAACACCUGUUAUAGAGACUGUGGAAUAAGGGUUGGUGAGGAAGAAUUUAGGGUUGACUUAAUUCCCCUAGAAAUCUAAGAUUUUUAUUUGAUAUUGGGUAUGGAUUGGUUGACUACACAUCAGGCGAAUGUGGAUUGUUUCAGGAAGAAAGUUGUACUUCAGAAUUCUGAAAGAGUAGAAGUUGUAUUUGCAGGGGAAUGUCGAGUAUUACCAUCUUGUGUAAUCUCACCUAUCAAAGCAUUGAAACUAGUGCAAAAAGGGUAUCCGGCUUAUUUAGCAUAUGUGAUUGAUACCUCAAAGGGGGAACCUAAGUUAGAAGAUGUCCCAAUAGUAAAUGAGUUCUCUGAUAUGUUUCCGAGUGAAUUACCAAGCCUACCUCCUGAUCAAGAGCUUGAGUUCUCUAUUGAUCUACUUCCAAGUACCACACCUAUUUCCAUUCCUUCGUAUCGGAUGGCUCUGACAGAAUUAAAGGAGUUGAAAGUCUAACUGCAAGACUUGGUAGAUAAGGGUUUUAUUUGCCCUAGUACUUCUCCCUAGGGUAAGCCAGUCCUAUUUGUAAAGAAGAAAGAUGGCACUCUUCGGCUAUGUAUUGACUACUGUUAGGUCAACCGAGUGACCGUCAAGAAUAAAUAUCUUCUACCACAGAUUGAUGAUUUUUUUGAUCAGUUACAGGGUGCUACAGUGUUUUCUAAGAUUGAUCUAAGGUCUGGGUAUUAUCAAUUGAAAAUCAAGGAGCAGAAUGUACCCAAGACUACUUUCAGGACUCGUUAUGGGCAUUACGAGUUUUUGGUUAUGCCUUUUGGUCUGACUAAUGCCCCAACAGUUUUUAUGGAUCUCAUGAACAAGGUGUUCCACUCGUACUUGGAUAAGUUCGUGAUAGUGUUUAUAGAUGACAUCUUGGUGUAUUCGAAGGAUGAUGAUGAACAUGAUGUCCAUUUGCGCAUUGUGUUGCAAACCUUGCACGAAAGACAACUCUAUGCCAAGUUUUCCAAAUGUGAGUUCUGGUUGAAGGAAGUGGUUUUCUUGGGACAUGUUGUGUCUGGAGCUAGAAUUUAUGUCGAUCCCAAGAAGAUUGAGGCAAUCUUACAGUGGAAGCAACUGAAAAUGGUGACAGAGAUUCAGAGUUUCCUCGAUUUAGCCAGUUAUUAUAAAAGGUUUGUUCAGGGGUUCUCAUUGAUAGCUGCUCCUCUAACUUGUCUAACUCGUAAAGGAAUCAAGUUUGAGUGGGAUGAUGUCUGCGAGAGUCGGUUUCAGGAGCUAAAAAAAUUGUUCACCUCCGCUCCAGCUUUGACACAUCUUGUCAGUGGGAAAGAAUUUAUGGUAUAUAGUGAUGCCUCUAAAUUAGGAUUAGGGUGCAUGUUAAUGCAAGAUGAGAAAGUAAUAGCUUAUGUUUCUCGGCAGUUGAAGAAACAUGAGAUGAAUUACCCUACCCACGAUUUGGAGUUGGCAGCAAUAAUAGUCUUUGCACUGAAGAUCUGAAGGCAUUACUUAUACGGUGAGCGUUGUCAGAUCUUUACCGACCACAAAAGCUUGAAAUAUUUGCUCACCUAUAAGGAUUACGACUUAGUGAUUGAUUAUCAUCCGGGGAAGGAAAAUGUUGUAGCAGAUGCCUUGAGUCGUAAAUCCUCAUCUUCAUUAGCAUCACUUUAGAAUUCUUAUCUUCCGAUGCUACUUGAGAUGAAAUCUCUAGGGAUCUAGUUGAGUAAUGGCAAAGAUGGAACCUUACUUGCUAGUUUUGUUAUGAGACCCUCACUGUUGAAUCAAAUCAGGGAAUUGCAGAAGUCUGAUGAUGAGUUGAAACGGGAAGUUCAAAAGUUACGAGAUGGAGAAACUAAUGAGUUCAGACUCGGUGAUGAUGGUAUCUUGAUGCUUGGGGACCGGGUUUGUGUCCCUAAGGAUGAUCAGCUGAGAUGGGUUAUUUUGGAGGAAGCUCAUUCUUCCGCUUAUGCUUUACAUCCAGGAAGCACCAAAAUGUACAGGACUAUCAAGGAAAGUUACUAGUGGCCGGGUAUGAAACGAGACAUAGCAGAGUUUGUGACGAAAUGUCUCACAUGCCAGCAAAUCAAGGCGGAACAUCAGAAACCAUCGGGUACUCUUCAGCCUCUACCUAUCCCUAAAUGGAAGUGGGAGCACGUAACUAUGGACUUUGUAUUGGGUUUACCGCGAAUGCAGAGUGGGAAGGAUGCUAUUUGGGUGAUUGUGGAUAGAUUGACUAAGUCCGCCCAUUUCUUGGCUAUCCAUAGCACUUAUUCCAUUGAGAAACUAGCUAAGAUUUAUAUAGAUGAGAUAGUGAGAUUUCAUGGAGUUCCAGUUUCUAUCGUGUCAGAUUGAGACCCCUGGUUCACUUCUCGAUUCUAGCUAAAAUUUUAGAAGGCUCUCGAAACUAAUUUGAGGUUUAGUACUGCCUUUCAUCCACAAAUAGAUGGUCAAUCUAAAAGGACCAUUCAGACUUUGGAGGAUAUGCUACGAGCUUGUGUCAUUGACUUUACUGGGAGUUGGGACAGACACUUGCCAUUGGUGGAGUUCGCGUAUAACAACAGUUUUCAGUCUAGUAUUGGGAUGGCACCAUAUGAGGCUCUGUAUGGGAAAAAGUGCCGAACUCCACUCUGUUGAGAUGAAGUGGGUGAGAGGAAAUUCUUUAAUGUAGAGCUAAUUGAUCUGACUAAUGACAAGAUCAAGGUUAUCCGAGAACGAUUAAAGACAACUCAAGACAGGCAGAAAAGUUACUCUAAUAGACGGAGAAAAGACAUGGAAUUUGAAGUUGAUGAUAGAAUUUUUCUUAAAGUUUCUCCUUGGAAAGGUAAUGAUUUGAAUACUUUGAGGUAUUAAGUCUUAUUUGAUUAUACUAUUGUAGUAAAUUAUGGUAUCUUGUUGGAUAAUAAAAGAAGCAGGAAAAACUCAAUCCGAGAUACAUUGGACCCUUUCGUGUCAUUGAAAGGAUUGGGCCAGUGGCAUAUAGACUAGAAUUACCCCUAGAGUUGGAUCAGAUUCACAAUGUCUUCCACAUCUCAAUGUUGAAAAAGUAUGUACCUGAUCCCUCCAAUAUUCUCGUGACACCUCCGAUUGAGUUGCAGGAAGAUUUGAAGUUCGAGGUACAGCCUGUACGUAUUCUAGAUCGAAAGGAUUGACUGUUAAGGAAUAAGAGCAUCCCAAUGGUUAAGGUGUUGUGGAAGAAUGCUCGGAUGGAGAAGAUGACGUGGGAAGUUGAGCACCAGAUGAGAAGCCAAUAUCCCCAUCUUUUCUCCGAGUCUGGUAAGUGAAUUUUUUAGGUCAAAAUUUUAUUUUAAGGGGGGUAGUGCUGUCAAGCCCAACUCUAUAAUAUACUUGCCAUGUCAUUCAUGUACUUGAUAGCAUGUCUGCAUACUUGGAUGCCUCGAAAAAUUAGAAUAUUGGAAGAGAUUUUUGACCAAGUUUGACUAGUUAGAACAUAAUUUGAAUUUAAGAAGUGAAAAAUUUCAAUUCUGAGCAUAAGGGCAAAACGAUCAUUUCAAGUGUCCACGAGGACGUAAUUGAAAUUUUUGAAAUUUUACACCACCAUGACACUUGUCAAGCCCAUGAAUUUCACUUAUUAUCAUUUUUAUAUCUUGGAUAAUUAAGGUAUUAUAUGUGGUGGUAAGAGAAUGCUUAAUUGUUAAUUUUAACCAUGGACCAAUCAAGUGGCGACACGUGUCAAGUUUUAAUUCUUUUAUAAUUUCCUUUAUAAACCAGCACAAACCUUUCCCAAUUCACUCUUCAUUGCCAUGGAAGCCAAACAACAAAAGGGGAAAGAAUAGAAAAACUCUAAGGAGGAAAAAAUUCAAGAGAAAUUCAUUGGAUUUUCGAAAAAUGAAGCGAUCGGAGGUAAAAUUUCGAGAUUUAGCUUAAGAUCUACCUUACCAAUGCUUUCUUUUUUAUGUUCUAUGGUUCAAACUCAAUUUUUCAUGAUGGAAGCAUGCUGGCCGAAUCAAGGGGGGAAGGUUUUGAGGAUGGGUUUUUCUAGAUCUCAUGUUAUCUAGGCGUUUUUAGUUGUUUGUGAUAUUCGGUAUGAAAACAAGCAAGAAAACAACAUGUUCUUUAUCAAACCUUAAUUGGCCAAAUUCUAUAGGCAAUAUUUUGAAGAUGAAUUUUGUCAUAUUUCAUGUUAUCUAGCUCGUAUUUGAUGAUUCGUGAUGUCAGAUAUCAAAAACAGUUAUCGAAAAGUAUAGUUCCUUUAGUAAACGACUUGAACGAUAAUGAGAAAAUUAUAGUAAAUGGACUUAGAAUUGAUUUCUAAUGAGGUAUACGGACUUAUUGGAGUACCGAAAGUGCAAUGAAUCUAUUUGGAGUUGAAAUGGAUGUUUUGGCUAAUUAAACAGGGUAUAGUGCGAAUUAGGUCGAAUACCAUUUCAGUCCACCAACAAUUGAACCUACGUAGAACACCAUCUUUAAGUGAUUAUUCAAACACUUCUCAUUCAAUUUCAUACAUUCAUAAAGAGCCUAAAAUAGUUUUAUAACAGUUUGGCACAAAUAUAUUGAAUUAUUUGUUAUGUAUUAUGUAUAGGUGGUGAGCCCUCUAGUAAGGGUAAGGAUAUCGUACCCGAGAACCAGGAGUAGGAGUACUCCUGUUAUAGUGAGUAAACAGACGAUCAUCUUAACUAUCUAAAGUAGUUUAUACUCAUUUUUAUGAUUUUAAAGAAUAAUAAAUUUAAAUUGUAAACUAUUAUGUUUUGUAACUGAAGUGUUGGUUAAAUGAAAUGAGAUUCAUAAUUUGGUUUGAAAUUGAAUCCUGGUUUUGGAAAUUGAGUAAGUGGAGACUAUAUACUUGUGUUAUAUAUAUGUUUUGACAUAUGGUUUGAAUUGAUGGCUUAUGACAAUGUGACGGCAUGAAUGGCUGGAUUUGUGCUUGUGUGGAAUAUAUGAAUUGUUUUGUUUUACCUUGACAGGCUAGGUAAUGUCAUAUUUUCCGUGUCAUACUGCAAAUAUUUUUAUUGAUUUGGUGGGGUAAUUGAUUAGCUUACUGAAGUGGGCAGGUUUCCGUGGACCGGCCUAUUGGAAGGGCACGGUAAAUCCCAUCAUACUUUACCUUAGUAGGAAAGGCGUGGAGGGUAUCUACUAAGGUAGUUUAGAGUUCACUUCACGCCGAACCACCACAUGAAGGUGAAACUCAGCCAACGCUAAGGAACGGAUACGUUUUUAAACGUAAAAACAUGUUUUAUGUGUAUAUGUCAUUUUAACAGCCUUGGCAGACUCAGUUGGAUGGCCGGUGCAAGGUGUCACAGAGUACGAGUUUUGGCACGAGCCAAGUUUUAAGAGAGUCAUAAGCUUUACUGAUUAUUUUUUAUGAAAUGUAAUUGUUUUAUAUGGUUGAAAUGAGCUUUAAUGUUAUGAAUCAUAUUAUGAAGAGAUAUUUUAAUUGUCUCAAUUUAGUCGGCUUUAGAUGUUAUAGAUGAACUUUGCUUACUCAUUGGGUUUANCCCCUUCUUUUCACCCAUUUCAGACUCAGGACAAUCUAUAGACUGCUGAUUAUGUCGAGGGUUUGCUUUUGGGUUUGUACCCUUAGAAAUCGUAGGUCUACAGUCCUGUUUAUUUUUGUUAUUUUGGGGCUCACAUGUCAUUGUAAAAUAUUUUUGUGUACCUUGGCGCUGUGUGCUAUUAUGUAUACGAAUUUAUUUUUUUAUUACGCUACAGAAAUUGUUUACGUAGAAAUUUAUAAAUAUUGUUUUAUAAUAAAAUGAAAGAUUUUAUCCAAUAUUUUUAUUUAGUUCUAUUAGAUAAAAAUUCACUUUAAAUGGUUGAUUUAGAUACCUAAAUUUAUUUUUAGAUAUAAAUGUAUAUUUUUCAUUUAUAUAUUAUAUUUUUAGCAAGUUUCAAAAUUUUUGGGUAAAAAUGACCAAAAUAUCCCUGUGCGGUAGAAAUUACUUUUUGAUUGUCUUUGAUUUGAAAAUAGUGUAUAUUCCUUUAAAACAUGAUAUUUAGUAACUAUUGCUCACAAGGGAGACAGAAAACUGAUGCUAGAGCCUUGUGAGGUUUGGAUUGACAUUCCGGGUAAGGUAUGUCUAUCGGGACAUCGCUGCGAUUGUCACGGACUCGAAGAGAGUAACGAGUCAUGACAAAUAAUAUGUGGGAUGUGAACAAGUUGAAAUCUAUUUUACCUGAUAUGAUUAUUGAUGAGAUUUUAAAGAUCCCAAUUAGCAGAAGUACAGUAGACACGGCAUAUUGGGCUUUAACUCAAAAUGUAGAAUUUAGCACAAAAAGUGCUUGGGAGAUUUCUUGCCAACGGUAGCCUAAUUUUGCUUGGGGUAAAUUGAUAUGGCACAAGAGCAUUCCUUUAACGGUUUCAUUCUUUUUAUGGCACCUAAUGCAGAAUUGGAUCCCGGUGGAAUUAAGGAUGAAAUCGAAAGGCUUCCAUUUAGCAUCUAAGUGCCUAUGUUGUUGUUCGGAGGAAUCUCUUCUACAUGUCAUUUGGGAAGGUACAGUUGCACAACAGGUUUGGAAUUUUUUUGCAAAAUUCUUUCAAAUCUAUAUGCAUAACCCUCAAAAUGUUUUACAUAUUUUUCAUGCAUGGUACUAUUCUAGUGACUAUGCGAAACCUGGUCAUAUUCGCAUUUUAUUGCCAUUACUUAUAAUGUGGUUCCUAUGGGUUGAACGUAAUGAUACUAAGCAUAGGGAGCUAAAAAUGUAUCCUGACAGAGUGAUAUGGAGGAUUAUGCGGAUGUUGAGACAACUUUAUCAGGGUAACUUAUUAAGUAAAUGGCAAUGGAAAGGAGAUAUUGAUAUUGCAGCACAUUGGGGAUUUUUGUAUGAACAAGAGAGUCACGGUCAUCCAAAAAUUGUCUAUUGGUCUCGACCAUUGAUGGGUGAGUUUAAGCUGAAUGUAGAUGGUAGCUCCAAGGAAGCUUUUCAGAAUGCUGUAGGUGGAGGAGUUUUACGGGAUCAUACAAGUACUUUGAUUUUUGGUUUUUUCGAAAAUUUUGGACGUUACAAUUCUAUACAAGCAGAGUUAAUGGCAUUACAUCGAGGAUUGCUUUUAUGCAAUGAAUACAACAUAUCCAGAGUGUGGAUAGAAAUGGAUGCAAAGGCAAUUGUACAAAUGUUACAUGAAGGACAAAAAGGAUCUUCCCGGACCCGAUACUUGCUGUCUUCUAUCCGCCAAUGCUUGAGUGGCAUCUCCUAUAGGAUUUCACAUAUCCAUCGUCAAGGUAAUCAAGCUGUUGACUAUCUCUCCAACAAAGGGCAUACACACCAAAACCUGCAGGUAUUUUCAGAAGCCGAAGGUGAACUCAAAGGUAUGAUUAGAUUAGAUAAAAGUAAUUUGCCUUAUGUUCAUUUUAAUUAAAGGUAAAGGAGUAGUACUUCAAAUUUAUUUUUGUUCUUAUUAUUUUUCUUUUCUUGAUAAUUCAAACUCUUGUAAAAUGGAAGUGUUGAAAUUUUAUGAUUGCAUUCAAAAAUAUGCACAUAAAAUGAUACCUUCCUACCUAGGUACCCUUCCAAAUUCUCUUCUAUCUCAUGUAACUCUGGAGGUUCGGUUUAUGUCCCCCUGCAUAUUGUGCUUAAUUUUUUUGUUUAUUAAUAAAAUAAUUGCAGGGUAGCUGGGCCCUACGAGAAUUUCCACAUUAAAAAAAAAACUCCUAACCUAAACCUAAAAACUUAGCUAGCUUUUAAGAGCAAAAUGAGAUAAAAUAAUUCUAUAAAAUAGAAUUAUCACACCCAUAAACUUAAGAUUUUGCUAGUCUUUGAGCACAAAAUAAAAAAGAAAACAAACAGAACAAAGAAAACGAAACCUUGAAAAUAAAAAGACUUUGCAAGAAACAAAAAUUUUCCAAGUUAUGAUUUCCCAAUUCUUCCCUCAGAAAUUAUCCCAUAAUUCCAACUUAAGGUAAAAUACAGAUAAUUUUCAAACUUGUGUAUCAAUUUAAGUAAAAACUCACUUUCUAAUAGACUUCUUGUUUAUGUGCGAAUGAUCUCUUACAAAGAAUAUCAUGCAAUUCAAAUUGGUUUCUACCAAUUCCAAUCACUGAUUAAUACUAGGAUCCCAUAAGUUUGCUUUUCAUCUCUCUCUCUAUUAAUAUAGACUAACACUUAUUCAAGCAUCAAUAGGUCUUUAUUAAGCUUAUAAUAUAAGGUUAGGGUCAUGGUAUGAUAAAGAAAUUAUUUAAGCUAAAAUUCAUCCUAAGCAUUUAAUCAAUCUAGGACUUAUUUAAGAGCUCAAAAACAAAAUUUUUCUUUCUUCCUCAUAGCACCUCCAAACUAAUAAUACCCUUCCCUUUUCUUUUCUUCCCUUUGUUUAUUUAUUUAUUUAUUUUUUCAACAAGAGUAUAUUUCCAUCACCAAUGAACACACAUUAUUUUUUUUCAUCACCCUUUCUCCUUAUUUUAACUAUAAACUCAAAAUAUUCCUAGACAGAUCAAAAUACUUAAGGAUGAAGGGUUCAAACUUGGAAGCAUAUAAAAAGGCUUAGGCUAACAUAAAUAUGUGUUUAGUAAAGAAAAGGAAAAUUAAGCCCAAAAAGGGGUUACUAGGGAUAGCUUUAUAAUAAGGUAGGCUCGAAUAGGCUCAAACGGUCCACAAAUAGCCUAAAUCAUUUUCCAUCCUAAGUGUUGUCUAAAAUUUCGCCUCAAGAAAGAAUGAAACAAAUUCUAGAAUCCUUGACUUCACAAUACUUCUAUUAACAUAAACUUUUUCUAAAUCACAUGACUAUUAGCUUUAAAAUUCUUAUAGCUUUGAUUAUGACAAAAUUGAUCAAAUUUGCUUGAACAUUAUUUGACUGAUCCUAGAGCAAUUCUUGAAAUGAUUAACUCUCAAACAUUUGUUAUUACAUAGUUAAAAGGUUGACUCUUGAAGUUAUUGAACUAUAUCGGUCAUAACCCAAUUUUCGAGCCAUGACCGGCACAAGGGCCCAAUGGGCUCAGCCCACCAAGCCCAAGCAAGCCUACUUACAUGAUUUUAUACGCUAAUCCAUAUUCCUUUAGAAUCCGAAAUUCAUAAUGCUCAAUUACAAUUCCUUUGAAAACAAUUCAUAAAACCCAGUCAUGUAUUCAUAAUGGCAUCAUCAAUCAUUAUAUACAUACAUAUAAUUUGACAAGUAAAUCUCAGUAUUUCACAACAAGUAGUCAUAUACACGUAAUUAGAACUUGACUGUCAGCGGAGUGACUCUGGACACGGUUGCUAACAUUUAAUGUCACUGUAAACCUACAGAGCAAUGGAUAGGGAAGAGCACCUCGUCCUAGGGUCCAAUCACUUUUGACUCAGAAAAACCUAAAACAUGAAUUUUAAAAACAUGAGUACAAACUUAGUGAGUGAACAUAGGAAGGGAACAAGCAACGUUAAGGAAGGUUUAGAAAGCAUGAUGCACUUAAGUUCAAAACAUUGCAAUUUAAAUUAUCUCUAUUUAAAAACUCCUCAUUCAAACCCUUGGUCAUUUCGUUACUUGAUGACAAAAGACUCAUGAACAACAAGGAAGUUGAGAAGUGAAAACUUUAGUAGAUUUCAAGCAAGUCAAGCAUAAUAGAUUGACUCACACCGCAGCGAAAAAGGCAUUCUUGCUGCAACGAAAUUCUGGCCAGAUAAAAAUCCAAAGAGCUUUCACUAUCAAUGGAAAAAUCCACUCAUGCCACAUUGCACAUUAAAUUGAUCACAUUGACAAUACUCAAGUUUACAACAGUCAAUGCAAUCACAUUUUAAAUCUAAACAUCUCUAUAUAGUAAUAUGUAUAUAUAUAUAAGCACUUACACCACCAUCACCUCACUCAGCUGAUGUGCAUCAUUACUGGCAUGUGCACUGCCCACUCCGCACAUGCACGAUUAUAAAUAUCACGACAGCAUCAUUACUAGCAUAUGCACUGCCCACUUCGCACAUGCACAGUUAGGCUCCACUCAUAAGGGACGACCUUCGCUACAAGCAGCCCUUUCCACCUUCAGCGGCGGCUCCACUCGUAAGGGACAACCCUUGCUACAAGCAACCCUUUCCUCCUUCAGCGGUGGCAACAAACGGUACCUAUCAGAGCACUUGUAACGGAUAGCCCUCUUUACAAGCCCUUGGGUGGAGAGUCACGCUUCGCCACUAUUCACAUGCGAGAGUUCCCAGGGAUCGAGUUAGACCCUUUGCUCUGAUACCAACAUUGUCACUCAACCGACAUGUGCACUGCCCACUCCGCACAUGCACGAUUACAUCAAUUAUAUAAAAUUACUUAACAAUAUAUAUAUCAUAUAUCUUUAUAUACAUAUCGGCGUCAUAUAAAAGUACAUAGAUUCAUCACAAUCAUGUUCCACAUCACAAAAAUAUUUCACUAAAGGCUUGUUCCCAUGCAUUUUGAAGAAAAGAUAAUUUCAACAGUUCAAGUGGUUCGCUCAAACGUAUGUACAUUUACCCAAAACAUUUUAGUGCAGGUUCACUCACCGAUAUUUGUUGAAUCUUUACUUGACUCCAACCUCCACUAAUGGUCCAAAUGGAACUAUGGGGCCUCGUUGGGACCUAUCAUAACCACAACAUCACAACCAAUCCGAUUUGCAUAAUUAUAGUUCUAAAAGCUAUCCACUAAAUCAUAUUCUGCUAGUUAUUUUUAACUAGCUUCCAUCUACCAUUAAGUAACUAUAUAUUUUCACUAUUCUAAUCACACUACAAUGAAUAACCCACCUCAACUACAGAACACUCACCGAUCUAGCCACUAGCCAUUCUCAAAAAUUAAAAAAAAAUCAACUCUAUUUCAUUACUCACCUUGGUAGCUUUACAAUUGAAUUUAUUUUUCAAAUGCUUUCAAACUAUCAUGAAAAUCUCACUUUCUCUCUCUAAAGCAUCUAGCUAGUGAGACUGUAAUAAGGAAAGGUUUUUGAGGGUUUUAUGGUGAAAAAAUAGAAGAGCACAAAGAACUUUGUGAAAGGGCACACAAUGUGAGACCCUGUCAAGCUCGAUUAAAAGACAGUGUUGUACCGAGUGGUACAACUAAGUUAAAUCGAGCCUUGAAUAAGGUCAAAUAGAAAUUCUAAGAGGAAUUUGAAAAUUUUGAAACCCACAGAAUGGCUUAGAAUAGUGAUUCGGAGUUCAAGGUCCAGUUUGGAGUCCAUCAGAAAAAUUGACUGAUUAGGGAUAAAACGGUCAUUUUACCAUUUGAUGAUAAAAUGGAGAUUUUUAGCCAAGAUUUGAUCACAUUUGACCAAGAAUAAUUAUAUGAAAUAUAAUUAUGAUUAUUGGAGUAUAAAAUGAUGUUUAGCAGUGAAAAAUUGUGAUUCCUAGUAUUUUUGGAGCACAAGGGCAAAAUGGUAAUCUUGCCACUAGAGGACUGAACGAAAAUUUUUAUAAAACCAUUUUUGCCCAUUUGGUUAAUAUUGAUCAAUAUUAGUGUUAUUUGAGGUUGAAAAGUAGAAAUAAUGUGAUUCCGGUACAUUUUGGAGUAUAGGGGUAAAAUCGUAAUUUUUUCACCUUGGGGGUAAAUCGGUAAAUUUUUCGCCUUAGCACUUGUCAAGACCAAGGGAUUUUAAUUGUGGUAGGAUUGGUUAAAUACCAGAAUAUUUGUGGUGGAAAAUUAAGAAGAAAAAGUCAAAAAGUUAAAAAAAAAGGGCCAAUAAGCAUGUGACACGUGGCAUGCUUGAUUAUUUUAUUAUUUUCUAUAGAAAUCAGCCCAUUAAAUCCCCAAUUCUCUCACCAUAUUCAGCCUAGGCAACUAGCAACAAGAGAAAAAGGAACAACAAAGGGGAAAACAAGAAAACCUAGGUGGAAAUUCAAAUAAAAAGUGAAGAAAUCAAGGAAACAAGCUAGUGAGACGUCCGAAAAAGGUAAAGGAAUUACGCCUGAGGACUAUUAGUCUGAGUGCACCUGAAAUCUGGAUUUUCGAUAACGGUGAGUGGACUUGCAUUUCAAACUUGUUUUGGGGAAUAUGAAAGAUUCUAUCCAACUUGUCUUAGAAAAUGUACCUUGGAAACAAGCUUUUAGUAAAAUGAUUUUAUAUUGUGAAAAUGUGCUAUUCAAUGGUUUAUGUGUUAUCACAAUAUGAUAAAAUGCAUGAUAUGCAUUGGAUGCUUCUUUGCAUGUUGAUUUGGACCCGGCUAUGUGCGAGUAGAAGUGCACAUAAGCCUUUGUUGACCCGGCUAUGUGCGAGUAGGAGUGCACAUAAGCCGUUGCUGACCCAGCUAUGUGUGAGUGGGAGUGCACAUAAGUCGUUGCUGACCCUGCUAUAUGCACAUAAGCCGUUGCAUAUGAGAUGAUGAUGAUGGGAUGGUGUGCAUGUUGAUGAUGGGUAUAUGGUUGUAAAUGCAAAUAUGUAAGCAUUUGUUUUGUUUAAAUUUGGAAGUUUACAUGUGUUACAUGUUGCUAUUGUUAUUUUAGCAGGAUGGCUUGUUUUAAGGGAAAAAGGGUUUGGAAUAGUAGUUAGAUGAAAAUGGCCUUAUUUUCAACUGGUGCAUCAUGAUUGUCAAAUUUCCUAGUUGAGAUUGCUUGUUCCCUUCUAAUAUUCACUCACUGAGUAUUGUACUCACAUUUUAUAAAAAUUCAUGUUUUCAGAUCAAGUGACUGUUGGACCCUAGAUCGAGGAGUCCCCGUAGUGCAUCUCCUAGGUAUGUGUCUGGCAUUCGAUAGUAAUCCCUUUUAUUGUAAAUGUCUCCGCUGGAAGUCAUGGGUCUUUUUGUAUUGUGAAUACAAUCUAACAAUGUGAAUAUGUGUAUGCAAUGUAAAUUGCUAAAUACAUAACUGGUAUAGUGCAUGUAUAUUAUUAUCGAUAAUGCCAUUGUGUUUUGGCUAUGUUCACACUCGGGAAAAUGUGUGUGUGUAUGCAUGAUAUGAUAAAUUUGUUAAGCAAAGGUAAAUGGAUAGGCUUGCUUAGGCUGAGUGAGCUAUGCUCAUUGAGCUCAUGCGCCAAUCAUGGCUCGAGAAAUUGGGUCGUGACACACAAAAACAUGAAAAAUCGGGGUGAAUUCAAGGAAAUAUAUGGAAAUUCAAGGCAAGCUUCCAUGGAAGGUGAGAGAACAUGGGAGAGGAAGGAGAAGAAGAAGAAGUGCUGAAAAUUUGAAUAACAUCCUAGAAAAUUAGAUUUUUAUGGCUUAAGUUUAUCCAUUUCUAGCAAAAUUACCAAAAUGCCCUUAACAAUGUCAUUUUGUUUUUCCAUUGCCUUUAUACAAUUUUUUUACUUCUUUGACUCUGAGAUAAGGUCCAUAAGGGUCUAGAAAUGCUCGGGUUCAUGAAAACUUAAAAAGUUUAACUCGAGAUGUAAAAUGAUCGUUUUACCCUUUUUGUUUCCUUCCAUUUUAAUUUAUUCCUCCUAGCAUUCGUUUAACUCCAAUUUCCUUAUAUUACCUUCUUUUACACAUGUGCGAACAAAGUAUAAAGUUUGUACUCCAACGUAGUGUCUCAUAAUAUUUAAAAUAUUUAUUUACCUGCGCUAUCUUUACUUAAUAAAGACACGCGACCCCAUUAACGACAUUUUUCUCCAAAAUUCUCUCAUUUUUCUUCUCCCCCACUUAGAUUGACCAUAUACUCCUUCUUCAUGAAAAAUUUUGACACUGAACAAAAUAUUAAUAUUUUAAUAUUAUUUUAUUCUAAAAAUUUCCUCUUGUCCCCUUGAUACACAAAAUACCUUAUUAGGCCUCAAUUGACUUCCGAAUCACUUUUUAUCUCACAAAUUCUUCUCUGAUAAAAAUAUUAUUAUUUUAUUAUUAUUUCCUCGUGUGCAAAAUAUUUUAUCCCAAACUAUUACUUUCAUCUUUCAUCAUUUCUAAACAUUAUAAUAAAUCUCAAUUAGCAUCCAAUAAGCUUUAUUAGUCACCAUAUCAAAGUACGGGGUAUUACAAUAUCAAUAAGCUUGUAUGACUUAGUUAUAUGAGUGCUUAUGAUUCUCAUUCAUUAAAGUCUAAUUUAAAGAUUAAAGGAAAAUCUAUAUGCACUCAUUAAGGGGGAGUUUUGAAUAUCUUUUUCAAUGAUGACAAAAAGAGAGAGACGGAAGACUAAGUUAAAUAGAGUUUCAUAGGUCUUUAUGUUUAAUUUAUGUGUGUGAUGCUUAGUUAUAGUUUUAUUGAAUAUUAUGUGCUAGUUAUUAUGGAUAUUCAAUUUAUCUUUCUUAGCUACUAUGGAUAUUGCAUAUCCUAUUUAGUUAUUGUGGAUAUUAUAAAUAUUUUAUUGCAAAUCUUUAAAGAAAAAUAGAUACAUUGACUAAAGGGGAGCAAUCUUGAUUAUGCAUAAAGAUUUAAAGCAUUCAUACUGAACAUAGGCAUUGCACUCCUAAUCUAAGAGUGUUUUGUCAUCCAAAAAAUUAGAGAGAGAGAAUGUAGACUCGAUGUGUUUUUGAUGAUAACAAAACAUUUCCAUUCAUUAGUGUCUAAUUAUAUUAUUUAAGUGUGCAAGAGAAAGCUUAAAUUCUUUAAUAUAUUUGUUAUCUGAAAGCAAGUCAAGAAGCUUGCUGUGUUACAAGAAUGGUUAAUCAGUUAAAAGAGCAAAGAACAAAAGGCUACGUGAAAGCAAAAAAAUGUUAACUGAUUAACAUGGAGUCUUAACUAGUUAAGGCAAAACUGGGCUCUAUAUAAAAAGCAAGGUAGAAAAGCCUUAAUCAAUUAGCACCAAGAUUAACUAAUUAAGAAAGUGUUGGAAGUUAAAGACAACAGCAUUCUAACUGGUUAAGCAAAGGGGUUAAUCAGUUAAAGCUCAAGACUUGAAGUACUUUGAAGUGCCAAAAGUUAAAUUCAAGGUGAAGUUGAUCGUUAAAGAGUGCCAAAUGAGAGAUUUCAAAUUUGAAGAUAUUUGAAUUAGUUUACGUUUAUUUCAACCGAUUAAAGUUGAAGGAAGUAAAGCCUCAAUCAGUUAAAGGGGGGACUAACUAAUUAAAGGAAUAUUGUUGGUUGGAGAAGUUUGAAAACAAUAAUGUUUUUAAUCGGUUAGAGUUUCCUUUAAUCAGUUAACACAGUGAAAAGAGCUGUCAAAUAGUGCAAGUUAGAGAAAACUUAGUGAAAAAAAAUAAAAAAUUGGUUUGACGGUUGAGCAAGAGCAAAAGGAACAAUGUUUGAAAGCUUAAGCAAAGUAGAGGCAGCCUUCGUACUUGGAUAGUGGCUACUUAAAGCACAUGAACAAAAAUGAAAACUCAUUUAUCAAGCUUGCUAGAAAGAAAAGCGGUAGUGUGUCUUUUGGUGACAACUCCAAAGGUAGCAUCCAAGGAAUUGGAACCAUUGGUAACACUUUUUACACUCAAAUUAAGCAUGUUUUACUUGUUAAAGGCCUAAAGCAUGACUAAUUGAGCAUUAUUCAACUUUGUGAUAGAGGAUUUUGAGUUUUCUUUGAUUUUCAUGUAUGCCAUGUGAUUGACAUUGAUUUAACAAAGUUGUAUCCAUUGGAAAAAGGUUUGAAAAUAUUAAUGUGAAUAUGAGAAAAUGAAUUUGAAAUAUAAGAAAAUGAUUUCAAAAUUUAAUGUUGAAUAUGAUUUCUUAAUGAAGGCAAAGAUUGUUUUGGGAAAAGAGAAUUUAGAUAAAGCUUGAAGAUUUGAAAAAUGCAAAGCAAAAAGUUUUCAUGAAAUCCCUACUUUCAAAUAUGAUCAAAUGCAUUUAUUGUAACUUUCAUGGUCUUAUUUCACGCACUUGUUUAAUUAAGAAAUAUCUACCUUAUAAAGUUAAACAAGUGUGGAUUCCAAAAAGAACCUUGCAUAAUGAGAUGAACUAUCAGGGAUCCAAAGCAAUUUCGAUACUAAAGAUCAUAUGAAAAGUGUCUCUUGUAAGUGUGCUAGAGCAAAGAGGAACAAAUUCUUGAAGAUUAAAUGCCCUCUAGACACAUAAUGAAAAUUGGGUAAUUUCUAUACCAAAAGUCAUUUAUUUGUCAAUUUUUAAUCUUUGGUUGUUUGCUCUUUAUUUUGGUUAGUGAUCAAAUUCUUGAGAUUGAUUUAUUUAGCUACGUUUUUGUUUGCCUUUUUAAUUGAGAACUUUCAUAGACUUUUUGUGCUUGAAUAUUAAGUGUAUAAUUCUUUGUCUACUCUCAUUUGAUAUUUAUUAAUAAAUUUGGCUAAUGCAAUUUGAUUUGAUAUAAUAUAUGCUAUAAAUUGCAUAAUCUUGAAGGAACUAUGAGCCUGAAUACUGAGUAUAUGCUUAUCUUCGAUCUUGAUUAUAUCCUCAUGCUUAUGCCUUUUUUAAAAAAAAAAAAUUUGCUUGUUUGUUUUAUUGAUUUUGCUUAAUUGUGGAAAAUUGUUUGAUAUAAUUUUCUCAUGUUUUAUGAAAUUGAUUUCAUUUUUUUUUUUGGAAAAAUUAUUUUUGAGCAUAUUUUUAAGCAUAAAAAGUUUGAUGUUUAUAGCAUGUGAGGUGGCUAAUGUCAUUAAUAGAUUGAUUUGCAUAAUUGCUUAUUCUAGUAGUAUAAACAAGGAAAAUUGAGUUUGAAGAUUUGACUUUGUGAUUUCCUUGUGUCUAAGAUAAUUUAACCACUUGAACAACUUUUCUUUAUCAUUUAAGAUUUAUUUGAAUGUUUCAAGUUGGCUAAAAUUGUGUAUAAUAAGCUUCAACUACUUGAAUUGGAAUUUUUAAAGAAAUAUGAGCUUUUAUGAGAAAAAUGUUUGCUAUCCUUAAGUUUAUACUGAUUUAUGAAUUGUAUAAGUUUGUUUCAUGAUGAAAAUACUUACUGACUUGUUCUUAUUGGAUAUGCAUGCUUGCUUGUAAGCUUGAAUGGUCAUAAGGGCAUUUUGGCACAUGAUUAUGAGAUAUUUGAAAAUGACCCUUGACAUGCAUAAACAUGAUUCAUUAUUCUCAUUGCAUAUUUCAUAAAUCAUUUAGAGCAUAAUUAAACAAAAUUGAGUGACAUUGAGCUCAUGAUUUUACACAAAGCAUGUCGAACUCGAAUCUUGUGUGUUUUAAAUGCAAAAAUUUUGAAAAGAGAGAUUAAACUUUUUUGUUCUCUUUGAUUGAAUUGAUUUGAAUAUGUUUUUGAUGAAUUCUUAUAUCAAAUAUGCUUUAAUCUCUUGUUUUGAUCAAUUAAAAUUUGUUUCAUGUGCUUAGAAUAGGGUUUUAAUUAGUUAAAAUCAUGUUUUAAUUGAUUAAAAUGAUUCUAGAAUAAGGUGUGUUCAUUUUAAUUGAUUAAAAAGUCUUUGAAAUUGAUUAAUUUACUUCUGUGUAAAGUUGAGAUUUAAAGUUAAAAGAGUUUUAACCAAUUAAAGUUAACUUUAAUCGAUUAAAACAAUUUUACGUUUUUAAAUCUGCUUUUAAAAUACACUUUGAUCAAUUAAAACGGUUUUGUGUCAACUUAAAAACAAAUCUUGGCCCUUAAAAACGUGCAUUAUGAACAUUCUCAUGAUCAUUUGGUGCAAACACAUAUUCUUGAAAUUGCAAACUUGUUGAAAAAUGGGAAAACUCUCAUGAAUGCUUGAAUUUGUUUAUUCCAAAACAUGACGCUCAUAUUGAUAUUAUUAAUUCUUUUGUGCUUAAUUGACAAAAUUUUAAAAAUGAGAAAUUGUUCAUAAGUGCUUGAUUUUAGUAUUUAUCAUGUGCUUUCAUUGAAAAAUCAUAUCUUGAGAAUUGAAAUGUUCAAAUGAUUAGUCUGGGAACAAUUCUUGAAAUAUGUUUCAUGUUUGUACUUAAAUGAUUGUUUCAAGAUUGAAUCAUUGCCUAGGCUCAUAAAAUUGACUAGGAUAAAAUCAUUGAACUUAAUGAAAAUAUUUUAUCGUUCAUCUAUUGUAUUGGUUGGUCAAGUCACAUGCUUACAUGACAUUUAAUCUUGCUUGACCUUAAUGAUUGAAAUCUAUAACUUGACUUAAGUGAUAGAAUUGCUUAUAGUGCUUAAUUGCAUAACUCAAGUCAAGUAUGGUCAUGACAUAUAUUGUGAGUUGACAUAGUUGAAAUUUAUUUUGAAUAUGCAUUUAAAGGUUAACUAUGUCUUCAUUGAGUCUUAAUGUUUACAUGAUGUAAAGAUUUUGUGCGCAGCCAACUUUAGCUUAUACUUGACAUGUCAAACGAAAUAUGGUCUAUAGCUUUAGUUAACAAUGAAUGCCUAAUCUCUUUCUUGAAUCUUGACAAUUGGUAUUCAUUGAUACUUGGAUGUGCACUUUGAACAUAUCCAUGAGUUGAGUGCCUUAUUUUCAAAUUUUUUUAUUUAGUGACUCAUGAAUUAUGACGAAUAUUGAGAAAUAGCAUGUACCUCAUUAAAGUUCAACGCUUGCAUUUUUUUGGUAUGUGUCUAUAUAUCUAUGAAAAUUGGAAUCAUGAUUAAUGAAGAUAGCCAUUUUAUUUUUUGUAAUCAUGCUAGUGCUUACUUGAUCACAAUAUUCUGUUACAUGAUUGCAGUAAGUGCAAAAUGCUUUUGUCACGCUUCAUUAAUAAUGAUAUAGCUUUUGUGAAAGUUCUCCUUGAAUUGAUAAUUUUAUAUAUAAAUUGUAGAAUACAUCUUGCAAUGCUCGCUUCAAAAUGACUUGGAUGAAUGACUGCCUGAAAAUUAUGUGGAAGAAUACUCAUUAAAAAUGCCUAAGGAUGAUUUUUUUUAACUUCUCCUUUAAUUGCUAUUUUUAUAUAUGAAUUAGGAAAUUUUCUAGAAAUGCUUGAUUGAUAUUACAUUGCUGUUUGAUAUUGAGAAUAAAUAAUGAAUGAUUAAUGGUGAUUAAUUAUUGAUAAUACUCGAUGAUGAUUGAGAAUGAUGCCUGAACACUACUGAUACCUUAGACAUGCCUAGAAACUACUUUGCAAAUAUUUCUUGAAAAUAAGAGUAUUUGAUGCAUAUGUUGAAAAUCUAUUCAAAUGCUCAUACUCUUUUAGUUCCAUGAAUACUUAAGUAUUAGGGAAUUAAAUUGAAUAUCCAUUUAAUGCUCAUUUAUUCUAGGCCCAUGAUUUCUCUCAUAAUAUUUGAUCUAUUAAGGAUCUCUAACAACUUGUGUUGAACUUAUGAUUUCUUAAGGGGGAGUUAAUCAUUGUCAUUGAUAUCAUGAGAAAUUGAGAUCUUCAACAACAAGGUUUGGUAACAAUUCAACAUUUAGUGUUCUCCACCAUCUGUAACAUCUUUCUAAACAACAAAAUUGAUGUUGUGCCUUAUAUUGCUUCUCACUUAAACUUGAAUGUUGAAAUGCAUAAUUGGCAUCAAGCCUUAAGUUUUCUCAAUUAGUAUCUAGCUUUAAAAUUAGCAUUAAGCUUUAGAAUUGUCUCUUAUUACUUGAGCUUAAAUUAAUCAUAUCUUUCUUAAAUGUGAUUGAGCCUUGAAGUUGAUAUGCUAAGAAUGCUUAAUAACAAGGGAAGUCUUUGCUCGUGCUUUACCAAUUGAUAUAAUGAGCUUUAAAAUGAUUCUAACUAUCAUAAUUGAUAUUGUGCUUUUACAAAAGGGGAGAUUUUACAUAUAUCUAUCAAUUGGUAUAUUGAGUUUUAACACUUGGUAUUAAAGCUGAAAUAUGACUUAUUUGCUUAUUGAACAUCUUUAUGGUUAUCUUUCUUGAACUUCAUAAGUGUUAGGUCCACAUUUCGCAUAUAGAUAUAUAUACAUGUGGUGUUCUUAUUGAUGAUUCUUUUGAUGAAUUAAUACUUGAAUGUGUUUAAUGGUUAUAUUUCAUAAUGACUUGGUUAAGGAUAUUAAGUGCAUAUAUCUGAUGACUUGGUGGCUUUAUGGUAACAUAUUCAUGGUUUUAAUGCUUAUAUUCUUGAUGAUUUUGAUAUAACAAAAAGAAGGAAAAGGUUUAUAAGUGUCACGACCCGAAACUCCCAUCGAGCCCGUGACAACCUCCGCGAUGUCCCGAUAGACAUUCAUUACCCGGAAUGCCAAUCGAAACCUCGCAAGGCUUAACAUCAGUUUUCUCGCUUCCCCUAUGAGUAUUAGUUACUAAAAUUAUGUUUUAAAGUGAUAUGAACCAAUUUCAAUUCAAAAACAGUCAAAGAGAAAUUUCAACUACACAAAGGUAUUUUGGUCAUUUUUCUCAAAAAUUUUGAAACUAGCUAAAAUGUAGUAUAUGAGAGAAAUUUACACAUUUCAUAACCGAAAAUAAAUUUAGAUAUCUAAAACAUUCAUUUAAAGUGAAAUUAUAGCUAAUGGAAUAAAAUAUUCCAAUUUUUCAUAAAACAAUUUUUAUAGAACGCUACGUAAAUAAUUUUUACAGCGUAAAAGCAAAAUAAAUUCCUACAUACAGUAGUACACGCAGCCAGGUAUUCAAAAAAUUUAACAAUGACAUGUGGGUCCCCGAAUGACUAAAAGUAAUGAAGGCUGUGAACCUACAGUUUUUGAGGAUACAAGUCCAACUGUAGCCCUCAACGAAAUGAGCUAUUUACCGACUAUCUUGAGCCUGAAAUGGGUGGAAAAGAGGGUGGUGAGAUUAUAUAAUCCCAGUGAGUAAACAAAUACCAUCUAAAAUAUCUAAAGCUGAGUAAAUGGAGACAGAUAAAAUAGAUUAGCAUAAAAUUGAUUCACAGUAUUUCGAAAUCAUUUUAAUAAGAUAAAAUAGAUUCAUUUCACCCAAAUAAACAACGAGGCUUAUGAUUUCCUGAAAAGCUUGGCUCGUGCCAAAAUUAUUCUCAUAUUCAGUUGUCAGGGAUACCUUGGCUUGGGGUUAUCCCAACCGAAUCCGCCAAGGCUGCUAAAAGGUUAUGUACGCAUAAAUUAUGUUUUUAUUUUGAAAACAUAGCCGUUCCUCAGCAUUGGCUAAGUUCACCCUCACGUGGUGGUUCAACGUGAAGUGAACUCUAAAGUUUUACCUCAGGAGUUACCCUACGCACCUCUUCGAUCGAGGUAAAAAUAUACCUGAAUUUCGUGCUCCUUUAAUAGGUUGGUCCACAGAACCCGCCACUAUAGUGACCAAUAUAUAACCCACCAAUUCAAUAAAAAUUCAACAGCAUGACAUGGCAAUUUUAUCAUUAUCCAGCCUAUCAAGGCAAACAAUAGUUUAUACAUUUUCAACACAAAUACCCAUCCAGCCAUUUAUGCCCACAUUAUCAUAAGCCAUUCAAUUCAAACUAUGAUUUAUAACACAGCAAGUAGUCUCCAAUUACUCUAUUUUGAAAACCAUCAUUCAAUUUCAAGACAAUUUAUAAAAUCAUUUCAUUUAGUCACAUUUUGCUUAUAAAACAUAAAGAUUUACCAUUUAAACUCAUUUUUCUAUCAAAUCACAAAAACGAAUUAAAAUUCACUUCAGAUAAUCAAGAUGAUGAUAAGGUUACUCACUGUUAUGGAAAUCGAGUUCGGAGUACUCCGAUUCUUGAUCCUCGAGUACUAUCUCUUUACUUUUGCUAGAAAGUUCACCACCUAGACAUAAUGCACAAUAAGCCAUUUACUACAUUUGUACUAAACUAUUAUAAAACUAAUUCAAGCUCUAUACUAAUGCAUGAAAUGGAAUGCGAAUUGUUCGGAUCAUCGUCUAAACACGAUGUUCUACAUAAAUUCAAUUGUGUACCUAAAUAAAACGGUAUUGGCCUAAUUCUAUCUAUCACCCGAUUAAUUGGCCAAUAUGUCCAAUUUAACUUCAAAUAACUCCAUUUCUCUCCCAAUACUCCAAAUCAUCAAACUCAAGUCAAGUAACAUAAAAUUUAGCAAGAUCAUCUUCACAUUUUUUCUUGGGAAUUUCGGCCAUUAUGGGUGCAUGAACACUAUGGUUUUUCUCACUUGAUAUUUACACCAUAAAUCAUUAAUUCCUAACCAAAUCACUUGAAAUAAAAUCAAGUCCACCAUCAACACACCAUAGGGAAGAUUCGGCCAAUGGAGGGUGAUGGAAGAAAAUGAAUUUUUCUUGUUUGCUUUUCAUGCUACACAUCACUAACUAACUAAAAACACUAGAAUAUAUUAAAAUCUAACCAAAUCCAAGUUCAAAACUCCUCCCCCCAUGUCUGGCCAGCAAAGGUAUCCUCAUGCAAACUUGAUUCUCAACCAUGAAAAAUGAAAAAGAAUGCAUAGGAAAGGUAGAUCACAAGCUAGAAUUGAAAAAUCUUACCUUUUGUCACUUGAUUCUUUGAAAUUUUGUGAAUUUCUCUCGAAUUUCUUAGCUAGGUUUUUAUUCUUCUUCUUUUCUUCCCUUUUCUUCCUUUGGCCGACAAAGAGAAAUGAGUUGGGAGGGUUAUGGGCUGAUUUUUAAAGCCAAAUAAUAAAAUAAUCCAAGCUUGACACUUGUCACCAUGUUAUUAGUCCAUGUUUAAAACUUAAUAAUUAAGCUUUCUUCCACCACCACAUAAAACCCUUCAAUUAUCCAUGAUAUAAAAUGCUAAUGGCAGAAAUCCAUGGGCAUGACAAGUGUUGGGUGGUGUAAAAUUACAAUUUUGCCCCUAGGGUGGCAAAAUGACUAUUUUGCCCUUAUCCUCGAAAAAACGUCGAAAUUAAAAUUCUUCACUUCUCAAACUCAAAUUAUACUCCAAAUGAUCAAUCUUAGUCAAAAAUUUCAUCCGACACUCACAUCUUAACCUCGGAUGGCAAAAUGACCAUUUUGCCCGUAGGUCAUGAAAAUUCCAAUUUGACUCCAAAUCGGUCCUUGAACUCCGAAUCACCAUUUUAAGUCAUUCUGGGGUUUAAAAUUAUCAAUUUCAUCUUAAAAUCUCUAUUUGGACUAGUUCAAGGCUUAAUUCAACUUAAUUGUACCAUUUGGUACAUUGUCGUCCUUUAAUGAUUUUUGAGGUACCCAAGUAAGCAAACAUGCAUUCUUAUGUAAGAAUGGCAUAAUAAACAUAUUGUAGAACCGGGCUUGACAUAUUUUGUAAGAUAAACAAUGAAAGGUUUAAAACUUGUUAAGGUUAAAAACAUGCCAAGUAAGGAACAGGCAAAGAGAAGUUGACAAAGCACAAGUGUUUAGAAUGGUUCAGUUCUCUUGACAUAUAUCCGCUACAUUGAUCUCUCAAUCAAGGAUUUUCAACUCGACUUCACUAAACCAACGGAAUUAACAACUUCCACUAAGCUUUUACAAGGUGAGCUUCUACCCAAGCUCUAAUCCUUUACAAUAAAUCUUAGAAUGCUUCUCACACUCUAAUCAACCAAGAAUAAAGAAGAAAAAAGAAUACGCAUAAUCACCCUUGCAAAUCUAAGGUUAAAAACAAGUGUGUAAGAAAAGGUUCUUUGGUUUUUUACUGAAAAUGUGAUCUUGGUAGUUUCUCUCUUACUUUUUCUACCAUUGAAGCUUCUUUUUAUAGUUAGGGACUUAGAUUUUUCUAUUAAAGGUAGUUUUUAGCCAUUGUGAGCAUGACUGAUGCCUUCCUAGUUGUUAUUUUAUCUUUUAGCAUUUAAAUUCAAAUGGGUAGACAGUUUUUGUGAGACCUCGACCUCUAUAGACCUGUAACUAGGUGUAGAUGCGAUAACACGGGCCAGGGGUAAUUUUGUCAUUUCUCAUGGUGAGCCCAUAGAAUUAGGCUUUCAGACAUUAUUAAGGUUUAAGUAGGCCUAAGGAAUCAAUGAAUGAGGGUAAAAUAAAUGAAGAAGAUAUAAAAAUUGAUAAUUUCCAUGAUAAGGGUAAAAUGAUCAUUUUACACCUCGAGCCUAAAUUUUUAAGUUUUCGUGAACUCGAGUACUUUUAGACUAUUAUGGACUUUGUCUCAGUGUCAAAGGAGUAAAAAGAGUACAUAAAAGAAAGGAAGAAGAAAAGUGGCCUUGUUAAGGGCAUUAUUGUAAAUUGCACGAAAAUUUGAUAAACUUUAACUAUAAAUAUCUAAUCUCCAAUAGCUUUUCUUCAGUUUUCCAGCAGCUUCUAUUUUUCUUCUUCCUCAUAUCCUCCUCUCCAUUCCAUGUUUUUUUGCACCUUUCAUGGAAGUAUCCUUCGAAACCUUUAAAACUUCCCCAAAUUAGCUUUAUUUCUCAUGUUUUUCUACACCCUUUCAUAGGGUUUUUCAUGCUCUUCCACUUUUACACCUCAACAGCCUUCAAAAGUCUUUCUUAAGUACAUUCACUCACUAGUUGGACGUGUAGAGAGAGAGAGGGAGUGAUUUCCCUUAUUAGCUUGAAAGAAUUUUGAAAAUAAAUUCAAUUACAAAUCCACCAAGGUGAGUGAACUUGCAUUUAAAAUAUUUUGCGAAAUGUAUUAGUAUUUAGAUGAAGCAUGUGAAUGAUUUUUAUUUGAUUUUUCCUUCAAGAUUAUGCAUGGGAACAAGCCUUUAUUAAAAUGUUUUAUGUGGUGAAUGUGCAAUAUUAUGAAAUCUAGCAAAAUUCAUCACCAAAACUUCUCUCUCUAGAUUUGGCCAGCAAAGGUUCCCUCUUGAAAACUUGAAUUUCAGCCAUGAAGAAUGAAAAAGAAUGCAUGGGAAAGGUAGAUCACGAGCUAAAAUAAAAAAAUCUUACCUUUACUUGCAUGAUUCCUUGAAAUCCAACAAUUUCUCUUGGAUUUUUCCUUCCUAGGGUUUGUUAUUCUCUUCUUCUCUUUGUUCCCUUGCUUGGCCGGCUAUAAGAGUGAUUUGGGAGGAGUGUGUGCUGGUUUUUUAAAGGGAAUUAUAAAAGGAUUAAAAUUUACCACGUGUCACCAUGUAAUUGGUCCAUGCUUAAAACUUAACAAUUAAGCAUUUCAUUCCCACCACAUAUAAUCUCACUUAAAAAAAAUAAUGGGUGAAAUUCAUGGGUUUGACAAGUGUCAUGGUGGUGUAAAAUUUCAAAAAUUCCAAUUACGUCCCGUGGACUCCAAAUCAAUCCUCGAACUUCGAACCGUUUUGCCCCUAUGUUCGAAAAAAUGUCAAAAUUGAAAAUUUUCACUGCUCAAAUUUAAAUAAUGCUCUAAUUAAUCAAAUUUAGUCAAAAUAUCAUCCAACAUUCCAAUUUUUCCCUUGGGUGGCAAAAUGACCAUUUUGCCCCUACGUUAUGAAAAUUCUCGAUUGGACUCCAAAUCAAUCCUCGAACUCCGAAUCACCAUAUUAAGACAUUCUAAGAUUCAAUAACUCUCAAAUACAUCUUAAAAUCUCUAUUUGGACUAGUUCAAGGCUUAAUUCAACUUAAUUGUACCAUUUGGUACAUUGCCGUCCUUUAAUGAUUUCUGAGGUACCCAAGUAAGCAAACAUGCAUUCUUAUGUAGGAAUGGCAUAAUAAACAUAUUGUAGAACCGGGCUUGACAUAUUUUGUAAGAUAAACAAUGAAAGGUUUAAAACCUGUUAAGGUUAAAAACAUGCCAAGUAAGGAACAGGCAAAGAGAAGUUGACAAAGCACAAGUGUUUAGAAUGGUUCAGUCCUCUUGACAUAUAUCCGCUACAUUGAUCUCUCAAUCAAGGAUUUUCAACUCGACUUCACUAAACCAACGGAAUUAACAACUUCCACUAAGCUUUUACAAGGUGAGCUUCUACCCAAGCUCUAAUCCUUUACAAUAAAUCUUAGAAUGUUUCUCACACUCUAAUCAACCAAGAAUAAAGAAGAAAAAAGAAUACGCAUAAUCACCCUUGCAAAUCUAAGGUUAAAAACAAGUGUGUAAGAAAAGGUUCUUUGCUUUUUUACUGAAAAUGUGAUCUUGGUAGUUUCUCUCUUACUUUUUCUACCAUUGAAGCUUCUUUUUAUAGUUAGGGACUUAGAUUUUUCUAUUAAAGGUAGUUUUUAGCCAUUGUGAGCAUGACUGAUGCCUUCCUAGCUGUUAUUUUAUCUUUUAGCAUUUAAAUUCAAAUGGGUAGACAGUUUUUGUGAGACCUCGACCUCUAUAGACCUGUAAUUAGGUGUAGAUGCGAUAACACGGGCUAGGGGUAAUUUUGUCAUUUCUCAUGGUGAGCCCAUAGAAUUAGGCUUUCAGACAUUAUUAAGGUCUAAGUAGGCCUAAGGAAACAAUGAAUGAGGGUAAAAUAAAUGAAGAAGAUAUAAAAAUUGAUAAUUUCCAUGAUAAGGGUAAAAUGGUCAUUUUACACCUCGAGCCUAAAUUUUUAAGUUUUCGUGAACUCGAGUACUUUUAGACUAUUAUGGACUUUGUCUCAGUGUCAAAGGAGUAAAAAGAGUACAUAAAAGAAAGGAAGCAGAAAAGUGGCCUUGUUAAGGGCAUUAUUGUAAAUUGCAUGAAAAUUUGAUAAACUUUAACUAUAAAUAUCUAAUCUCCAGUAGCUUUUCUUCAGUUUUCCAGCAGCUUCUAUUUUUCUUCUUCCUCCUAUCCUCCUCUCCAUUCCAUGUUUUUUUGCACCUUUCAUGGAAGUAUCCUUCGAAACCUUUAAAACUUCCCCAAAUUAGCUUUAUUUCUCAUGUUUCUCUACACCCUUUCAUAGGGUUUUUCAUGCUCUUCCACUUUUACACCUCAACAGCCUUCAAAAGUCUUUCUUAAGUACAUUCACUCACUAGUUGGACGUGUAGAGAGAGAGAGGGAGUGAUUUCCCUUAUUAGCUUGGAAGAAUUUUGAAAAUAAAUUCAAUUACAAAUCCACCAAGGUGAGUGAACUUGCAUUUAAAAUAUUUUGCGAAAUGUAUUGGUAUUUGGAUGAAGCAUGCGAAUGAUUUUUAUUUGAUUUUUCUUUAAAGAUUAUGCAUGGGAACAAGCCUUUAUUAAAAUGUUUUAUGUGGUGAAUGUGCAAUAUUAUGAAAUCUAGCAAAAUUCAUCACCAAAACUUCUCUCUCUAGAUUUGGCCAGCAAAGGUUCCCUCUUGAAAACUUGAAUUUCAGCCAUGAAGAAUGAAAAAGAAUGCAUGGGAAAGGUAGAUCACAAGCUAAAAUAAAAAAUCUUACCUUUACUUGCAUGAUUCCUUGAAAUCCAACAAUUUCUCUUGGAUUUUUCCUUCCUAGGGUUUGUUAUUCUCUUCUUCUCUUUGUUCCCUUGCUUGGCCGGCUAUAAGAGUGAUUUGGGAGGAGUGUGUGCUGGUUUUUUAAAGGGAAUUAUAAAAGGAUUAAAAUUUGCCACGUGUCACCAUGUAAUUGGUCCAUGCUUAAAACUUAACAAUUAAGCAUUUCAUUCCCACCACAUAUAAUCUCACUUAAAAAAAAUAAUGGGUGAAAUUCAUGGGUUUGACAAGUGUCAUGGUGGUGUAAAAUUUCAAAAAUUCCAAUUACGUCUCGUGGACUCCAAAUCAAUCCUCGAACUCCGAACCGUUUUUCCCCUAUGUUCGAAAAAAUGUCGAAAUUAAAAUUUUUCACUUCUUAAAUUCAAAUAAUGCUCUAAUUAAUCAAAUUUAGUCAAAAUAUCAUCCAACAUUCCAAUUUUUCCCUUGGGUGGCAAAAUGACCAUUUUGCCCCUACGUUAUGAAAAUUCUCGAUUGGACUCCAAAUCAAUCCUCGAACUCCGAAUCACCAUAUUAAGACAUUCUAUGAUUCAAUAACUCUCAAAUACAUCAUAAAAUCUUUAUUUGGCCUAGUUCGAGGUUUUAAUCAACUUAAUUGUACCAUUAGGUACAAUACGACUUUUAACGAUUUAUCGAUACAUUCACUUAUGCAUACAUUCUAUCAAGCACAUGAAUGACAUGACAAGUAUAUCAUAGAGUAGGGCUUGACAGCACUACCCCCCUUAAAAUAAAGUUUUGACCUCAAAAUUUCACUUACCAGACUCGGAGAAAAGAUGCGGGUAUUGGUUUCUCAUUUGGUGCUCAACUUCCUACGUCAUCUCCUCCAUCCGAGUAUUUUUUCCACAACACCUUUACCAUUGGAAUGUUCUUAUUCCUUAACACUCGAUCCUUUCGGUCUAAAAUACGUACAGGUUGCACCUCAAACUUUUAAUCUUCUUGCAACUCAAUCGGAGGUGCCUCAAGGAUAUGGGAGGGAUCAGGUAUAUACUUCUUCAGCAUCGAGACGUGGAAGACAUUGUGAAUCCAAUCCAACUCUAGGGGUAAUUCUAGUCUUUAUGCCACUGGCCCAAUCCUUUCAAUAAUACGAAAGGGUCCAAUGUAUCUCGGAUUGAGCUUUCCUCGCUUUGCGAACCGGAUCUCACCUUUCAUUAUCCAACAAGAUACCACAAUUUAUCACAAUAAUAUAAUCAAAUAAGACUUAAUACCUCAAAGUAUUCAAAUCAUUACCUUUCCAAGGAGAGACCUUAAGAAAAACCCUAUCAUCAACUCCAAAUUCCAAGUCUUUUCUCCGUCUAUUAGAGUAACUUUUUUGUCUGUCUUGAGCUGUCUUUAAUCGCUCUCAAAUAACCUUGAUCUUGCCAUUAGUCAGAUCAAUCAGUUCUACAUUAAACAAUUUCCUGUCACCCACUUCAUCCCAACAGAGUAGAGUUCGACACUUUCUCCCAUACAGAGCCUUGUAUGGUGCCAUCCCAAUACUAGACUGUUAUUAUACACAAACUCCACGAACGGCAAGUGCUUGUCCCAACUCCCAGUAAAGUCAAUGACACAAACCCGUAGCGUAUCCUCCAAAGUCUGAAUGGUCUUUUUAGAUUGUCCAUCUGUUUGUGGAUGAAAGGUAGUGCUAAACCUCAAAUUAGUUUCGAGAGCCUCUUGGAAUUUCGGUCAGAAUCAAAAAGUGAACCGAAGGUCUAGAUCUGACACGAUAGAAACUGGGACUCCAUGCAAUCCCACUAUCUCAUCUAUAAAAAGCUUAGCUAGUUUCUCAAUGGAAUACGUGCUAUCAAUAGCCAAGAAAGAGCGAACUUAGUCAAUCUACCCACAAUCACCCAAAUAUCAUCCUUCCCACUCUACGUCCGCAGUAAAUCCAAUACAAAGUCCACAGUCACGUGUUUCCACUUCCAUUUAGGGAUAGGUAGAAGCUGAAGAGUACCCGAUGGUUUCUGAUGUUCCGCCUUGAUCUAUUGGCAUGUGAGACAUUUCGUCACAAACUCAGCUAUGUCUCAUUUCAUACCCGGCCACCAGUAACUUUCAUCAUCGUAUCAUCUAUACAACUCAUUAAACACGUCGAAUUCAAAACUCAAAUCACCAUGAAUAAUUCUUCACUUUAGUUGAUCACGUAAUCAUCUCCAUAUAUAUAUAUAUAUAUAUAUGUAUGUCCAUAUACAUUUACGUACCACCAUCCAUCACUAUCGGUAAGGACCCUCGUCAACUACGUUCGAACUAAAUUGCCUUUAUUCAUUCUAAUCCAUAACUAAGGUUCAAUGUCAUAUUUUCAUAGCACAUGUUUCCCCCUUUUACUUUUCUAUUUUAUUCCAAUAUGUCAAGUUUAAUCCAUGAAUAUUAGGGUAUAAUCAACUCCAAAUUACCCUUUUGGAUGUUUGAGUUACCAUUUAAUUUACAUCCUACCAUAAAUUGUUUCUUAUGUAAUCCAUACGGAUUCUCAUUGUGCCUAUACAUAACUUCACAUAAUUUACGUACUUAUACUCUUUUCUUAUCAUUUCCAAUCCUAUGUAUAAGCUCCAUCAUAUCAUGCAUCCUUGCAUCACAAUGUGAUUAACCACAUUUCAAUCAUUAAAUAUCAUUUCCAUCCAAUCACAAUUUGGUAUCCACAUAUGCUUUACAAUCUUAUUAAUCCUUCAAAGGUUUUCUUUAAUUCAUCCUUGCAUCUUAUGCAAUAUCACAAUUCCUAAAAGUUAUCUUCGUUUCUCAUUUAUCUUGUACACUUCCAUCAUAUAUGUCAUUAUUCAUUUCCAUAUUAGUUAGUCACUUAGGAUUUAAAUUCAUUGAAGUCGUGUGCACUUCUUACAUUUUGAAUACUAGUUUCCCAUGUUAGGAAAUUUUCAUUAACCAACUUCAUUAUCAAGAUUACCUUCAAUCAUCUUGUACUAUUCCUUUACACCAAUAUUCCCAUACGUUCUCUUUAGCGUCUGCACAAUCAACUCUGAUAUUUACAAACUUAAUAUAGAUUUUACUUAGGUAUCCCUUGACAUCAUCGCCAAUAUCUAAUUUCAAUCUCACAUCAAGCGACCUCAUAACUUAUGCUUUAACCAUUAAGCUCCUUGACAAUUCCAAGUUCCACAUUUCCUUAUCAUAUAUAUAAAAUAUUUUAAAGCACUACUAACCAUUAUUCUUGACACUUGCAUUUUGGUCUAUUCAUUUCAAAACUCUUAUACAUUGCCAAUACAUAAGUCAACAAAGAAACUUUCCAAUUCAUUCAUAUCAAUACCUUCCAAAACCUUAAAACUCUAAUUAACGAAGCUUAACAUCAAGUCCAAUGACCUUAAUUCAACUCGUAAGUUCAACUUCCCGUCUUUCACCUCUUAUUCCUACGUCCUAGAUAUGAGGUGUUUCUAGUGCGGUGGCAUGGUGGUUGCUGAAGUUUACGUAAUCAACGCUAUUCGUCUAAAUUUAAGGUUACUAUAUUAAUCAUCCUUAACUGUUUGGCUUUCCUCCAAGCUUAUGUCGCAAUUUCCAUAACCAUUAUAUUCUCUUGUGCUUAUCACAUAUAAUAGACCAAGCCAAUAUUUUCAAAUUCAUCUCAUUCUUUAACACUUGUCAACAUCCAUUACCACGAGUAAGAAUCCCUUCUUACUUUUCUCAAUUUCAACAUAUCUCAAAUUGUACACCACUUAUCGUCAAAAUCUUGACUUUACUCUCUAGUUUUUAACUAAUUACAUUUAUAAAAUGAAUAAUUUACUUAAUUAUUGCAUCUCACCUUUACAGUCAUAAAAUCAAAGUUUCUUAAGCUUAGGAUGCAGAAACUUCCUCUUAGAGCACAUCCAAAAAUCAACAUUUUCUAAAUCCAUUACCUUUGAAGAAAUCAAAUUUAAGACUAAUCAUUUGCACCAUAGUUUUCACACUAAUCCAAUUAGACUCUUAAAUUGAUCCUUACAAUAAUUUGUAUACCAAGCUCAAAUAUAAAUCUCCAUAUGGCAUUUAGACUAGAAUCAACCUUUUUAAGUCAUUUAAUUUCAAACAACUAAAUCCAUAUCUAGUCCUUUAAUCCUUUGGCUCCACACGAAGCAUAGCAAAAUUCAAGCCCAUCCUUAAAGUAGAUCAAUAGAGAAUUCGAGUUCUCGAUCAGGAGGUAGUCUCGGUAAUUCAUCUAAAAAUACAUCAGAGAACUCAUUUACUAUUGGGACAUCCUCUAACUUAGGUACCCCCUUUGAUGUAUCAAUCACAUGUGCUAAAUAAGCCGGAUACCCUUUCUGCACUAGUUUAAAAGCUUUGAUAGCCGAGAUUACACAAGAUGGUAAUACUCGACGUUCCCCUGCAAAUACAACUUCUACUCCUUUAGAAUUCUGAAGUACAACUUCCUUCCUAAAACAAUCUACAUUCGUCCAGUGCGCAGUCAACCAAUCCAUACCCAAUAUCAAAUCAAAAUCCUGAAUUUCUAGGGGAAUUAAGUCAGCCCUGAAUUCUUCCUCACCAACUCUUAUUCCACAGUCCCUAUAAUAGGUGUUUCUAACCAACUGCUCUCUUUGAAGGGUAUAAACUACAAUUUCCUCCUCUAAAGGUGACAAGUUUAUAUCAGAAAAGGAUGCGAAUGUCGUGCUCACAUAGGAUCUAUCCGAACCAGAAUCAAUUAAAACAUAAGCAUCUUUGUCAAAUAUAGACAUGGUACCUGUCACUGCACUGGAUCGAACUCAUGCCUCUUCCUCUCCCAACUAAUUUAGCGAGAGGUGGAAGUCCACUUCGAGGAGGCAUAAUAAUUUAUAAGAAGAACCAGAACGAGUUUAGACCACUUUAGGUUCUAUAUGCAGAUGCAUGCAUUCAACUCAAUCUAACCUAACUUGGGGUCACACUGACACUGUAGUUUUUAAAAUAACUUUAAAACCAAAAGCUCUAAUACCACUUUAAUUGUCACAACCCGGAAUUUCCAUCGAGCCUAUGACAACUACCGCGAUGUCUCGAUUGACAUUCAUUACCCGGAAUGCUAACCGAAACCUUGCAAGGCUUUCGCAUUAGUUUUACUUCUCCCUUGUGAGCAACAGUUAUUAAAUACCAUGUUUUAAAGAAAUAUAGACCAAUUUCAAAUCAAAAAGAAUCAAAAAGAAUUUCUACUACACAGGGGUAUUUUGGUCAUUUUACCCAAAAUUUUUGAACCUCGGUAAAAAUAUGAUAUACGAGUAAUAAGCAUCCAUUUCAUGUCUAAAAAUAAGUUUCGUUGUCUAAUUCAUCAAUUUAAAGUGAAAUUAUAGCUAUUCAAAUUAAAUAAAAAUAUUAAAUAAAAUAUUUCAUUUUCUUAUAAAACAAUAUUUAUAGAACUCUGCGUAAAUAAUUUUUUGCAGUGUAAAAGCAAAAUAAAUUCAUACAUACAGUAGCACAUGCAGCCAGGUAUACAAAAUAUUCUACAAUGACAUGUGGGCCCCCAAAAUAAACAUAUAUGUACAAGACUAUAGACCUACGAUUUCUAAGGGUGCAAACCCAAAAGCAAACCCUCAACAUAAUCAGCGGUUUACAAACUACCCUAAGCCUGAAAUGGGUGAAAAGAAGGGGUGAGUUUUUAUAAACCCAAUGAGUAAGCAAAUUUCAUCUAAAACAUCUAAAGCCGAGUAAAUGGAGACAAUUUAAAACAUUUCAUCGUAAUAUGAUUCAUAACAUCAAAUCUCAUUUCAACCCAUGUAAAUCAAUUUCAUUUCAUCAAAAUCAACAAGGCUUAUGAUUCUCUUAAAACUUGGCUCGUGCCAAAAACUUGCAUUCGGUGACACCUUGCGCCGGGGCAUCCAACCGAGUCUGCUAAGGCUGUUAAAACAACAUAUACACAUAAAACAAGUUUUUAUGUUUAAAACACAACCGUUGUUUGGUGUUGGCUGAGUUUCACCUUCACGUGGUGGUUCGACGUGAAGUGAACUCUAACGUUACCUUAGGAGAUACCCUCCGCGCCUCUCGUACUAAGGUAAAAUAUAACGAGAUUUACCGUGCCUCUCUCAUAGGCCGGUCCACGGAAACCCGCCCACUGCAGUAAGCUAAAUACAUAACCCACCAAAUCAAUAAAAUUUCGACAGCAUAACAUGACUAAUAUAAUAUUACCAGCCUGUCAAGGUAAAGAAAAACAGUUCAUAUAUUCAACACAAACACAAAUCCAGCCAUGUUUGCCAUCACAUUGUCAUAAGCCAUCAAUUCAAACCAUAUGUCAAAACAUAUAUAUAACACAAGUAUACAGUCUCCACUUACUCAAUUUCCAAAACCAGUAUUCAAUUUCAAAACAAGUUAUAAAUCUCAUUUCGUUUCAUCAACACUUCAAUUAUAAAACAUAAUAGUUUGCAAUUUAAAUUCAUUUUUCUUUAAAACAUAAAAAGGAGUAUAAACUACUUUAGAUAGUUAAGAUGAAAGUCUGAUUACUCACAAUAGUAGGAGUUUGGAGUACUCCUAUUCUUGGUCCUCGGGCACAAUAUCUUUACCCUUAUUAAAGGGCUCACCACCUAGAUAUAAUACACGACACGUAAUUCAAUAUAUUUGUGCCAAACUGUUCUAAAACUAUUUCAGGCUCUAUAUGAAUGCGUGACAUUGAAUGAGAAUUGUCCGAAUAAUCACUUAAGGACAGUGUUCUACAUGGGUUCAAUUAUGAUCGGACUGAAUUGGCAUUCGACCUAACUCACACUAUGCCUUGUUUAAUUAGCCAAAACAUCAUAUUCAACUCCAAAUAUCUUCAUUACACUUUCAAUAUUCCAAAUACACCAAAGUAUCUCAAUGAGCUUAAUUGUGACUUAAUUCACCGUAAUCGAAAUUCAUUCCGAUUUCGAUAUCCGAUACCAUAAAUCAUCAAUUCCUAGCUAAAUAACAUGAUUUACAACAAAAUCCAUCAUCAACAUGCCCUAUAGAAAAUUCGACCAAAUGAGGGUGGUUGAAGAACAUGCGAUUUUCUUGCUUGUUUUUCCUUCCAAACAUCACAAAAUGACUAAAAACACUAGGAUAUUAUGAAAUCUAGAAAAAUUUAUCACUAAAACUUCUCUCUCUAGAUUUGGCCAGCAAAGGUUCCCUCUUCAAAACUUGAAUUUCAGCCAUGAAGAGUGAAAAAGAAUGCAUGGAAAAGGUAGAUCACAAGCUAAAAUAAAAAAAUCUUACCUUUACUUGCUUGAUUCCUUGAAAUCCAACAAUUUCUCUUGGAUUUUUCCUUCCUAGGGUUUGUUCUUCUCUUUUUCUCUUUGUUGCCUUGCUUGGUCGGCCAUAAGAGUGAUUUCGGAGGAGUGCGUGCUAGUUUUUUAAAGGGAAUUAUAAAAGGAUUAAAAUUUGCCAUGUGUCACCAUGUAAUUGGUCCAUGCUUAAAACUUAACAAUUAAGCAUUUCAUUUCCACCACAUAUAAUCUCUCACUUAAAAAAAAUAAUGGGUGAAAUUCAUGGGUUUGACAAGUGUCAUGGUUGUGUAAAAUUUCAAAAAUUCCAAUUACGUCCCCGUGGACAUGUAAAAUGAUCGUUUUGCCCCUAUGCUCGAAAAAAUGUCGAAAUUGAAUUUUUCACUUCUCAAUUUCAAAUAAUGCUUUAAUUAAUCAAAUUUAGUCAAAAUAUCAACCAAUAUUCCAAUUUUGCCCUUGGGUGGAAAAAUGACCAUUUUGCCCUUACUUUAUGAAAAUUCCUGAUUGAACUCCAAAUCAAUCCUCGAACUCCGAAUCACCAUAUUAAGACAUUCUAAGAUUCAAUAACUCUUAAAUACAUCAUAAAAUCUUUAUUUGGCCUAGUUCGAGGCUUUAAUCAACUUAAUUGUACCAUUAGGUACAAUACCGACUUUUAACGAUUUUUUGAUACAUUCACUUAUGCAUACAUUCUAUCAAGCGCAUGAAUGACAUGACAAGUAUAUCAUAGAGUAGGGCUUGACAUACAUCAUGUUUAUCUUGCAUUUAUGCAACUUUAAUCCUCUUAAUCAUAUUGGUCCAUCUUGUAUGGUUUAACCACGCUAUAGAUUACAUUUCCUUGAUAUCAUUUCUUUGAUUAUUUCUCCAAAAUUUCUUAUAUCAACAUAGCUCAACUUCUGAUGGGAUUUCUUAUCGUUGUAUUAUCUAUACAACUCAUCAAUUAUACUGAGUUCAAAUCUCGAAUCACUAAGAAUAAUUCUUCACUUUAGUUGGGCACAUCACUAACUCCACACAUAUGUAUGUACACGCACAUUUAAGUAUCAACAUUCCUUAUUAUGUGUGGGAAUCCUUGUAUUCAAGUGCCUUCGAACUAAAUUUCCCUUUAUUCAUUCCCAUAUAUAACCAAGAUUCAAUAUGAUAAUCCUCAUAGUGUAUGUCAACAUUCUCAUAUUCAAUCUACAAACAUUGGGGUACAAUCAAUUUCAGAUUGCCCUUUUUCAGUUGUUUAAAUUACCAUUCAACUUGUGUCUUACCACAAGUUAUCUCUUAUGUAAUCCAUACGACUUCUCCUUAUGCCUAUGCAUAACCUCACAUCAUUUACAUGCUUGUACUCUUUUCUUAUCAUUUCCAAUUAUAUGCUUAAGUUUCAUUGUACUCUAUAUCCUUGCAUCAUAAUAUCAUUAAUCACAUGUCACUGUUAAACGUCAUUUUCAUUAAAUUCCAAUCCAGUAUGUGUACAUGCUUUAUAAUCUCAUUAAUCCUUCAAAGAUUCAUCUUUACUUGAUCAUUACAUCUUAUGCAAUACCACAAUCCCUAAAAGUCAUCCUUAGUUCUCAAUUAUCUUUCAUGCCUUAAACAUAUACAUUAUAUGCUUAUUGCAUUUCGAUGUUAACCAGUCACUUAAGACUUAAACUCAUUCGAAUCAUGCAUGUCGCAUGCAUUUUUGAAUUCCAAUUUCCAUAAUACAUUAGGAAGUUUUCAUUAUCCAACUUCAUUAUCAAGGUUACCUUCAACCAUCCUUUAUACUAUUCUCUCAUACUAAUACAACAUCAUUCUCCCUUAGCCCAUUGACUAUGUGUACUUGAAAUUUUUGUUGGGAUGAGCCCUACAGCCAAUUGGGAUUGGUUGAGGCUUGAUUCCAAUUAUGCAAUAGUAUCAUUCAUGUUGAAUGAUUAGAGGUUUUUCUUUAUCAAUAAGACAUUAAUUAUAAUGAGUUAUAAGUCUAAUUGGGUGAAGUCCAUGAGAUUAAUAUGCCUUGCAAGGAAACUGUAAUGGGCUGUAGUUAUGAGAUUCCUAUGCAUCAAAGCAUAAUCUCAAAAUGUUCUUGGUCAAUGUAUCAUUGAGAUUGAACAUCAAUGAUGCUUAGAGACUGGUAUAUUCUAUGUUCCUUACUUUGGAAGUAAGCAAUCGAUCUCAUAGAUUGAAGUAUAGAGAUACUUGGAACUAUAAUAUAAGUGCUUGCCUAGGAGAGCAAGUUCACUGAACAUGACCCGCCAUGAGAAGUGCAUUUGGUAAUACACUCUAGUGUCUAUGCAACACUUCUCAUGUGUCAGUUGUGUAAAUACUUCCUAGACUUGAGACACCAGGUUGUCUUAUGUGUGGAAUGCUAUGCUUUGAUUUCAUCCUUGUGAGUGCCUAACCAAGGAUGCCAAAACAGGAUGCUUUUGGGUAUAGUAUGAAGCAUAUGAAGGCAAAUGAGUGGUCAAGAUAGGAAUCAUCACGUCAAGUGUUUUAGAGGACAUAUCCUAUCAGUUCUUGGUUAACAUUAGUUUAUUAAAGUCCUUGGCCAAGGCAACAUGGAGAUUAUGAAAAAGGUUUCAUAACUCUCUAUAAAGCUAAUGCUAUAAUUGCAGGAACAAAUAUGGAGGUUAAUAAGAGUAGACACUAUACCAAGCUCUUACCAUCUCCGGGAUAUAUGAUGAGAGAAUGAAUUACACUGAUAGACUGUAUACUGAAAGGUUGUCAAAGAACCCUUUGACUCUCUCAAUAAUUGGGUGGCCAUGAUGCAUUGCUAGAUGCUAAUCUUGGUCUAUGGAAUUGAUUAUAAACUAAUUGAUUGAAAUUUAUAUUAACCAAUUAAGUCAUUAAUCAAUUCCAUUGCCAACAUGUUGGGAACCUAAUGGGUCACACACAAUGAUUGCAUUUGAAUUAAAUUGGGAGAGUGAUGAUUUAAGUUGGACUUAAAUCACAUUCUAGGUAAUUAACUUCUAUAAACUUAAUUAAAAGAGUUUAAUUAAGUUUUUUACAUAAUUAUAAAUAGUUAUAACUAUAAGGCCUUGAUUGCAAAAUAUAAAAAAAAUUAAUUUUGAUUUUAAUUUCUAAGGACUUAAUUAAAAGAGUUUAAUUAAGUAAUAGGCCCAAUAUUAUAAUGUGUUAUAAUAUUGAGGGCUUAAUUGCAAAAUUGAAGUUAUUUUAACCUAACUAUGUAAGUAAUUUUUUAACUAUUUUUCCAUAUGAGAGUUUUUCACAAUUGAAGAAAACAUAGUUUUUGUCAAAAAAAUAAAAACGUUUUCUUUCUUUGCCACCACUCCCUUUGUGUUAAAGAGAAAAUUGCUUAUGAAGCAAUUUUUGAGAAAGGUUCGGCUAAGAUUGUGAAAAAAAAAGAAAAGGACAAUUGUUGUCGUCUUUUCUAGCACAAAGUAUAGUUAAAAAUUCCUUCCUUUGUUGAAGGUUUAAGUGCAAUCGUGUGUACUACCAUUGGAGGCCAAGCACUUGAUUAGCUACGGUUUUUGUUCCUUAUGGUGUUCACGAGAUUACUUCGGAAAGUGCCAUCAUGAUUACGAAAUUACAUGGCAAGGUAACUUUCUAAACAAUAAUUUAUUUUAUGCUUUUUUGUGUUAAAUAUCACCAAAGUGGUCCAUGGGUGGAGGCAUGUUUUGUUGUUUAGUUAUAAAGCUUAUAAUUUUUUUUUUCGUUAUGUAUUUUGAGCAUGCCAUACAUAGCCAAACCCAUCAAUUUCAUGACUGGAAACAAGGUUCUUCUCAAGUACCUCUCAAUGUCAAUGUGAGUAUCACUUUCAGCUUACGACCUCCCUUUUGUAAUAAUAUAACUUAAUGCUUGUUUUCACAAGAUUCAUAGCAGGAUUCCUCUUGAGUAUUUCCUUGCAAAUACCCACCUUUAAACUUAUGUCUCACCACAUGUGAUCACAUAACCUGUGGUUUAAAUAUUAGGCUCCUUAGCAAGUUUCAAAAUUCCAUAUAUUAUACUUGCUGUGUAUGAUUGAUAAUUCCUUCUCAAGGAUGUUCAUGCAUUUCUAAAACACUUUGUCACUUAUUUGCUCUUUAACAUCCCGAGCAUAUCAUUCCAAAGACAUGCACUUAUUCUCCAAGAUAUAUAAAUGCAUACUCAUCUAUUCAAUCCUCAAUAUAUAUUCAUAGGUUUCUAGUAUGCCACAUAAUUGGCCUUGUUAUGUUACUAAUCCUUUUCAUUCAACUAAGUCAAGACAAGAUUUAUAAAUCCUCAUAGCAAUACUUUAUAUUAACUCAUUUGCUAUGCCACCCUUAUAAUCUUUCAUUCACAAUUUCAUUACUGAGUAUUGACAUUCAUUGUCAAUGUCUCAUACAUUCAUCUAACUUUUCACUCACUUUUUCCUUAGCCUUUUACAAGGCUUAAUCUAUUGUCUUCUUUAUUUCUUAGGAUUUGACUUUAAUCAACAUAUUAUUCAUCUUAAUACUUCACAUGGUAAUUUGUCUCAAUGUAGUCAUCUCAAGAAUUCUCUAACUUCUCUUUUACUUACAUGCCAAUAUAUAUAAGGCAAUAAAGAAACUUCUCAAUUUACUCGUAUAAACACUUUUCCAACGCACUUAAAACUCCAAAUAUCAAUGCUUAACAUUAAGAUUAAUGGCCAUAAUUUGGCUUGUAAAUGUAUCAUCAUGCCACUCACAAUUUGCUCAAACUUUUUAACCAAAAGAGGUUCUUAAUGCGGUAGCGUUGGGUAGUCAACAUUGCGGCAUUGUAGCUAUUAGAAUUUACUUUAUCAAGCAAUUCUCCUACCUUUAAGAUUACUACUCUAAUCAUUUUCAACCACAUGGCUUUCCUCUAAGCCUAUACCACAAUUUCUAUAAACAUGUGUAUCUUCUCUUUGCUUAUCAUAUGCACUAAGCCAAGUUAAUACUUUCAACUCAUAUUAUCUUUUAACACUUAUCAUCAAUCAUUAAAAUCCACCAUAGGAUAUCCUUUCCAUAUUGUGUAAUGACUUCACAAUAUAUAUAACACCACACACCUAAUUAUUCACUAUUUAUGGUAUCCCACAAUCCUUAUCAUCCAUAAUUAAUUAUCUUUCUUGUCUUCUGACUCAAAUAGUUUAUUGACUUUUAGUAUAAAUGACCAUGAAAAUGGUUCAUCUUUUUCACACCUUAUACUCACAAUCCUUACUAAUCAAGAAUUCAUCUUUCUCAAGUUCCAUCAUUUACCCCCAAUGGUCUAUAUUUGUGCCAAAUUAUCAUUUUAUAAUGUCAUGGCACCAUAUGCCUCCAUUCUUACCAUCAACCAUACUUCAUAAGAAACAAUUAAAAGACUUACAUACCUUUUUCUUCUUUUAUGCAUUACACAACUCUUUAGGACCUACCUACACACUAUAGACACUUGACCAACGAAUUAUCCUUUUUGACCCUUUUCCUGUUUAUCCAGCAUGUACCCUUAACAUUUCUCAUCCAUAAGAAUAUCAGGUUACAAUUCCCUCAAUGCUUAAGUUUACAAUCCUCGACUUAAUCACAUUAACCAUUCAAAAACUCAUCUAUAGUCUCAUUAAUUUCUCUCGUAUCCUUCUGAAUUGUAACUGCAAUUGAGAUUUCAAAUUUCAUAUUUCCAUGAUUAAUCGGUAAUCAUUUGUCAGGUUUUGUAGUUACUUGUACCAUUAAUGACUUUCUAUGUCGAACUUUAAUAAUUAUCUAAGGCAACCAACCACACCACUAAGGUGAAUAUCCUUCCUCAAUAAUUAUAUUACUAGUCCACCUCUGUCAUACCAAAAGAUUCCCAUAUGCACCAAGUCAUUUAAACAGCUACUUCAUAAUUCGUUCGAGUCACAUGAAAAUAAAAGCCAAACUCUUAAGUCCUUUGUACAGACAACCAUCACUACUUAGUUUACACCACGUUUACCCGUACUUAAAGUAAUACGAAGUUCAAUGAAAGUAUUAAGUGUCAUUAGGAUCAUCGUCGCCUUGAUCUGAGCACAUCAACGAAUCCUCUUUCAGGUCCUCUUCUAUCUCUUGAGAUUUUCCCAUAAAAUCCUUAAUCUAAGCUUGCUGUAUUCUUAUGCAUUCCUCCCUACUCACAAGCGCAGCACCUCUCCCAUAACCUAGAGGAAAGUCUCGUACACUUGACACCUUUCUUGGAUGAUAACCCUUUGCCAUUACCUCCUUUAUCUUUUCCUCAGACAUUUCCAAAAAGAAACUUUUUACGCUUUCCCAAAUCUCAUUGCUUACCUCUCUUUCAAAGCUCUCACUACUUUUGAGGCUUUCCCUAUUUCAAAACAAAAUUUCCAAAUUCGGUGGGAUCCAUCCAAUAGAAAUUCUGGAUUGACCACUUUCCUGACUCCUUGGAUCAGGGCCCCAUUGGCUCAUAGUAGUGGAAUCUAGUGAUGCCUUACUAGUAUUAUGAAAGGUAUCCGAACUAUUGUUGCUUCUAGACAUGGCGCAUGUGCCACAGGUGCACCUCAAAACCUAUACGCAACUAAGCAUCAAUUGCUUAGCCAUUUACACAUCAUAGGAAUAAGUAGGUUUCUAAUGAAUUAGGGGCCUAUAUAGCCUCCCAUCUUUGACUUAUGUUACGCACCCACAAUCCAAGGACAAGACUUUACACGGACUCCAACAACUCUGCUGACAACCACAAGAACCCCUAGGACUCAACUAAACCUAGAGCUUUGAUACCAACUUUGUCACAACUCAAACCUUGGGCCAUGACCAGUGCAUAGGCCCAAUAGGCAUAGCCCACCAGACCCAAGCAAGCCUUUCUUUCUUAAGAUAUCAACUCAUAAUCUCUAAUAAGAAUUCUUUUGAAAUUAGACCAUGAAAACCCAAUAUAUACAUAUAUAUAUAUAUAUAUAGCGUUCUCAAAAUAGGGUUAUCGUUGGUUAACCUUAAGCGACGUGGUUAAUCAAACCAACAUACAGAGUGCACAACAAUCUCACAAUUUACAUUUAAGCAACUAUAUACACAUGCAAAAGACCUUAACUAUCAGCGCAGUGACUCUGGGCGUGGGUACCACUACUAGAUGCCAUGGUACCUACCAAAUGGCAAAUACAAAUGGACACUUCAAUCUAGGUCCCAACUACCUCUGAAUCUGAAAACAUGAAGUUAAAAAGAGUGAGUAUAACCCAGUGAGUGAACAUAAGAAGGGAACAAGCAAACGAUAAGGAAAGUUUAGAAAUCAUGAUGCACUUAUGUUAAAAACUAUGCAAUUUGGUUUAAUUCCUCGUAAAACCCUUCAAUUUGACCUUUGAUUAUUUAACCACUUAGUGUUAAAGGAUCCAUGAUCCAUAACGAAAUCGAAAAGUGAAAACCACAGUAAAUAUCCAAGCAAGACAAGCAAGAUAGAGAGUUUUUCGUUGCAUUGAAAAUUAACUUCAAAAGAAUUUACAAUUUCAACAUCCAACAAUCAUUACAAUCACAUAAUAUUUUCUCUAACAUUUCUUUGGUAUGUGUAGACAUGUAUACAACCACCGGCUCAUCAGCUCAUGUGCACUCCCACACCGCACAUAGCUGAAAUCAUCAUCCACCAAUCAUCAGCUCAUGUGCACUCCCACACCGCACAUAGCUAGAAUCAUCAUCCACCGAUCAUCAGCUCAUGUGCACUCCCACACCGCACAUAGCUACAAUCAUCAUCCACCGAUCAUCAACUCAUGUGCACUCCCACAUCGUACAUAGCUGGAAUCACUCGUCAUCACCAGCAUGUGCAUGCCCACACCAGACACGCAUGGUUAUAAUUGUCACACAAUAUUAUCAUUCAAAGCAUAACAUAUAUAUCAUCAGAAUAUAGCAACACAUGGGUUCAUCACAUUACGCAUUUUGCAACAUAAAACGUUUCAUCGAGGGCUUGUUCCCAAGCAUGAUUUAGAGAAAAAAAUCAAAUAAAAUCAUUUAAGUGCUUUAUCCCAACACAUAUGUAUUUCUCAAAAAUAAUUUAAUGCAAGUUCACUCACCUUAACAAUGCCACCUAAUAAGACUAGCACCUACAAGAUCUUAAGCCAGUUAGUCCUGAAAUACCAUUAAAACCUAUAAUUUCCAAUCAAUAAUAAUAGUUUCAAAUAUAUCAUAAAUUUAAACUUAAUAAUUCUAAUAAUCAUACCCUUGAUAAACUACAUUCUAGCCUAAUUUUUAACCUAGAAUUCUAGUCUAAUUCUCAAACCCAUCAUAUCAACUAUUCUAAUUUAAAGGUUCCUUACCAUGGUGAGCUUGGAGGCAUAAAGAUCAACAAAAACCUAAUACUUUCAAGAAAAAGAAUUUGAAGAAAUUAGGAAAUAAAAUCUGAAAAUAUAACCCAUAAAUUCAUAAAUUCCAAGAGUUGAAAAUAUAUACCUUUUAGCCUUAAAAUGGAGAUUUAAGGUUGAAAAUUCAAGUGUUGGUGAUGGUGGAGUAGAAAUAGAAAAUAAAAUAAAGAAAGAGAGAUUUUUCUUUCUCUCUCCUAGGGUUUGGUUGUGCUGGAAAAUGGUGUUAAAAGCUACAGGUUUGGUGCCCAAGAAGUUAGGAGAAGAAAGAAGUAAGAAAAGAAAGGAAAGGAAAAGCAAACAAAGAAAAGAAAAUGAAAGAUAAUUGAUUUUUCAUGGUGGAGGGAGAAAAUGGCGUUGGGUGGGCGAGGAAGAAGAAAAAAAAUAUCUUUUGGUGAAGAUAAGAACCGGUUAUGGCUGAAAAAGAAAAGAGUCAAAGCUUCCUUUGGAAGCUUUGACCAAGCUAAUGACAAAAUUAUCAUUUUGCCUUCCAAGGUUUUCACCCUUUUUAAUUAAGUCCUCCCACAAUCUCUUAAUUCCAAUUUCUUCCAAUUUUUCUUCCUUAACUACCAAUAAAAUAUCAAGUUUGUACUUCAACGCAGUAUCACCAUAAUAUUUAAAUAUUUACUUACUCGUGCUAGCUUUAUUUAAUAAAGACACGUGGGCCCCAUUAACAUCAUUUUUCUCUAAAAUUUCCUUGUUCUUCUUCUCCCCCACUUAGAUUGACCAUAUACUCCUUCUUCAUGAAAAAUUUCAACACUGAAUAAAAUAUUAAUAUUUAAUAUUAUUUUAUUAAUAAAAUAUUAUGUUAUUCUAAAAUUUUCCACGUGUCUCCUUGGCACCCAAAAUGUCUUAUUAUGCCCUGAUUCACUUCCGAAUCACUUUUUAUCUUGCUAAUUCAUCCUCAAUAAAAAUAUUAUUAUUCAAUUAUUAUUUCUUCAUGUGCGAAAUAUUUUUCUCUAAACCAUUCCUUUCACUUUUCAUCACUUUUAAACAUUCUAAUUAACCUUAAUUGGCAUCCGAUAAGCUCUAUUAGCCACCAUAUCAAAGUAAGGGGUAUUACACCUUAGGAUAUAAUAACUUUUCCUUCGAUCUCUACACCACACCAUCUCUCUUACACAACUAUUUAAUCAAAAACGGAAACCAUAUGCCCUCACGAGGUGUAUUAGCAAAACGAAGGAUGGUGUUGUAAAGUGUCCUCCCAAGAUCAAUGGCCUUUCUAGUCAAAAUACAAUAAAGCAACAAAGUUCUAUCCUUAGUAAUAUCACUAACAUGCUUCACUAGAAGCACCCUAGCGGCAAUAAAAUACAACCAGCACUUGUAAGCUUCAUAAAGUUGAUUACCCUUGAAAGAUACAAGCAGCCCCUUUGACAUCUUCCACUCCCCAUUACCCUUACACAAAUAAUUAAUUACCUCAGCAAAAUCAAGCUCCCCAAUAACAAAUUCGAAAUGCUCAUCAACCAUAGCCUUUUAGAUCUCAAAAUAAGCAUUAAUUUCAUCAGCAUUAAAUAGCACAAAUUUCCCUCAAACAAAAAUAGACCUGUUAUUAUGUUCUUGUGCAUUGGCAUAAAAUUGCCUAACAAUGGGCAUUGUAGUUGUAAGAAAGCAUUUACAAAAUCUGGUCCAUUGCCUAGUAAGAAUAAUCUCAUGAAUAUCUGGGUAGCAACCCUUACAUCAAAUCCUCUCUCAAGUACUAGAGUUUUAUAUAUCACCUCAUCAUUGUAUCUUUUCUCAACAGCAAUAGAGAUAAAUCCAGUCCUAUCAUAAAAACCACUAACAAUACUCCUAGCUCUUUUAGGUGCCAUUGUAAACCACAAAAUUAAACUCUAAACAAAUAUCACAAAUCAAUCUCCAGAUAAUAUUUAAAUAAAUACCCACCUAGCGACUAACAACUCAACACAAUUAACUUUCAUCAAUAAUACAACUAUCAAUUCUAACUCAAACUGUGCUCAAUACUCAACUUUUCCUCAAUCAACAAUAUCAAACAAGCCAAAACUUCUUGAAUGUAAUGUCUCAAAAGGCCAAAAUAUUUCAUAAACAAGGAAAAAUAGACUUACUUGAAUAAUUGAAGGACCAAUGAGGAAUGUAGGAAGCAAAGGUGAGUUUGGAUGAUGAUUUGGUUGAGAAUUUUUUUUAUGGUUAUGUAGAGAGAAGUUAAAUAGAAUAGGAGAAGGGAAAUUUUAGAGAAAGAAAAAGUUGGAGGCUGAAUAAGAGGAUUGGGAAUAAGAGGUGUUUAAAUAAGGGAGGAUUUUUUUCGUAACUUUUUUUAUUUAUUUAUUUUAUUUAUUUAUAUUUCUACAUUAAUCUCUUCUUUUUGUAGUAAAAAAUAUGUAUCUCCCACAAGUAUUGAUGAUAAUGAAGAUGAGGAGGAAGAUUUAAGCGUUUUCAGAUUCAUCCACUCACUAGAGAAGUAUUCUUUACCUUCUUUUUUUUCUUCAAACAUUAGGGACAAUGUUUAGUUUUAAAUUUGGGGGGAUGUUUUUGUUUGUUUUUCUUUAUCUUUGUUUGUUUUUCUUUAUUAUUUUACAUGUUUAGCUAGUUUUAUUUUUAACUUUAAAAUAAUUGAGAUAGUUUGCACCUUAUCCAUGAUUUUUCCAGUCUUGGGAUAAUGAUUUCAUUAUCCUGUGAUUUUUAGCUUUUGGGAAACAUAUGGUUAUGAUUUAAUUUUAUUUGAUAUUCUUGUGUUAGCUUUAUUUUAGAAUGUGACUUACAAUAAUUUGAGUACCAUAUUUUUUUACUUAGAAUUUUUAUGCAAUUUAGAGAAAGUUUAUGUUGAUAAAAAGUAUAGUGAAGUCAAGAAUUCUAGAAUUUGUUUGGUUCUCUUUCAAGGUGAAAUCUUAGAAUAGGAAGUGAUUUAGGCCAUCUUUGGAUUGUUUGAGCCUUUUUGAGCUUACCUUGUUAAAUUUAUCCUUAGUCACCCCUUUUGAGCCUAAUUUACCUUUUCUUUGUAAAUACACAACUAUAUUAGCCUUAGCCUUUUUAUUUAAUUCCAAUAGUUUAAACCUUUUACCCUUAAAUAUUUUGAUUUUUUUAGGAAGUGGAUUGAGCUUAAAGAUAAAUUGAGGGGGAAAGGUGGAAAAAAAAAAGGUCAUGGGUGCUAGAAAUUUACCCCUCAUUCAUAAUUGUAAAAAAUAAGUUUAGGCGUGUAAAAGAACAAAAAAGAAAUAAAGUGUGUUGUACAAAGGAAAUUUUGCUUUAAGUUUAGGGGUGCUAUAAAAUUUUAUUGAGCUCUUUAUAGGUCCUAGAUUGAGCAAGUGUUUAGGGUGAUUUUGAGCUUAAAAAUAUCCUUUAUCAUACCUUGACCCUAGCCUUACAUUGUAAGCUUAAUAAAGACCUAGUGAUUCUUGAAUAAGUGUCACUCUACAAUAGUGGAGAGAGCGAUGAAAAACAAACGUAUGGGAUCUUAGUACUAACUUAUGCUUAGAUUUGGCAUAAAUUAAUCCGAAUUGCAUGAUAUUCUUUGUAAGAGAUUAAUCACACGCACACAAGAAGUCCAUUUGUAAAAUAAGUUUUCACUUGAAUUGAUGCAUGAUGUUAAGGAUUAGUUAUAUUCUGCUUUUUAGCUAGAAUUAGGGAUAAUUUUUGAGGGAAAGAUUGGGAAAUCAUAAUUUGGCACUUCUAUCUCUCAAAAGUCUUUUUGGGUUUAAUUUACUUUGUUUUAUAUUCUUUUUCUCGAGGACUAGCAAAAUCUUAAGUUUGAGGUGUGAUAAUUCUAUUUUAUAGAAUUAUUUAGUCCAAUUUUAUUAUUAAAUAUUAGCUAAGUCCUUAAUUUUUAAUUAUAAUUUAGUUAUUUUUAGUUGUUUUAAUAAUUAGUUUAUUUUUAUUAAUUUAUUUUAAUUGUAUGUUUAUUUACUUUAAGUUGGCCUUUGUUUAUUAGUUUUUAUGUUUUUGUAGGAAUUAAGGGAAUUGUGUUUAAUUUUGGAAAGUAAGAUGUUGAAAGACUUAGAAGUAAGCCUGCAUAUGCGUCGGUUUUUUGACCAUAACUUGCUCUACAGCACUUCAAAUAAGGUUAUUCUUAGACCACUAGAAUUCUAAGAGGAACGGAUACAACUUUUAUGUUUACCACUUAACCCAGUUCUGAUCGGAUCACGGUCAAAAUAUUUUUCUAAUUUGGUGCACUGUAGUAGUUUGCAUAGACUAAACAUGAUGCUGUAUUUGGAUCAUAUCUUUCAAUCCAGAAGUCCAAUUGAUAUAAUUCUUAAGCCAUUGGAAAGUUAAGAGAUAGAGAUAAAACUUUCAUGUCUGCUACUUUACCCAGUUCGGAGCAUAUGAGGGUGAAAAUGACGUUUUAAAUUGAUGGACCGCUACAGCACUAGGAGAACAAGGCUGCAGUGUUGGUGAAAGGAAGCUCACCAUACAUUUUCUAGAGCCUAUAGCAUCGCAGUGCUAGAAGAGGAGCACUGCAGCUCUACUGUAGCAAAAAUCUAGUGCUGCAGCACCAAGAAAUCAAGGCAGCAGCGCUGGUCAACUUUCCAAAAAUAAAAAUCUGACGAGAUUUUGGAAAUUAGGUUACUUAGAGCUUAUUUAAGGAACCUUUUUCACAGGUUUUAAGGAAGAGGCAACAAGCAACAAUUUUGGAGAUUUGAAGCCAAGAACAAAGCAAGAAAACAAGAGAAUUGGAGGGAGAAUCAAGAUCACAAAGCUCUAACUAUUAGUUUUCUCUCUUUACUUUUGUGGUUUUCUUAGUUUCUUUGACUUGGAUUAAUGGCUAAUUUUCUUUGGAUGAAGUUUCUAUUAGAUAUUAUGAGCUAAAUUUUUUUUCUAGGAUUGCAAUUGAACUCACAUGUAAUCUAAAUUUUUAAUCUCUUUCUUGCUUAACUUUAAUGGGAUUUGAAUUGUUUAUUCCAAUUUGUUCUUAAUGUUUUUAAUUGCUUGAUCACCAUUUAAAUUGAUUUAGGAACCUAAACAAACUUGGGAAAGGGAGUUUAUUGUAGACUAAAAUUGGGAUAGCAUAUGAUUAUAUUAAUUGAUUUACGUAUAUGAUAGGGAUAUACCUAUAGGCCAUUUGUAGCCAGAUUAGAGCCGAAACUUAAUGAGUCUGUUUUAAUUUCAAUUCACAUAGGGAUAUAGUGUUUUGAUUAAAAUAGAUAUUUUUAUAAGAUUAAUCGAGAGACCCUUAUAAAUAAUUGAGGACUCUAGCUUAGCAAUUUAACCCAUUGAAAUAAGUUAAGAAAGAUAGUUAAGAUUUAGAUGAAGUGCGAGGGAUAUUGUAAUCCUAGGCUUGUUUGAUUGGACUUUUACUCACGUUAUUAUUACUUCGAUUUUUCUUUUUAAUUUAAAUUUUGGUUAAUUAGUUUUAGUUAAUUAAUUAAUUUUGAUUUUUUGGAUAAAAUUAAAUUGUUAUAAUUUUAGUACUUUGUAAAAUUUUAGAUCAAUGCUUUGUGGGAUCGAUACUCUGCUUGCUUAUAUAUUAUCUAUUCGAUACAUAUACUUGUGUAGUAGAAUUUUAACUGACAUAAAUCCUUAAAUCUCUCCCAAGCUUUAUACAAGGACUUACCAUCAAAUUGUAUAAAUGAUGUUAUAUCAUUCCUUAUCUUUGCACUCUUGGCUGAUGGAAAGAAUUUAGCCUAAAAUUUCUUAGCCAAGUCAUCCCAUGUAGUAAUAGAUCCCAUUGGAAAUGAAUUCAACCAGCUUUUUACCUUAUCCCUUAAUGAAAAUGGAAAGAGUCUCAAUCUAAUAGCAUCAUCAGUUACCUCAUUAUAGUUGAAAGUAUCACAAAUUACCAAAAGAUUCACUAGAUGAAAGUUAAGAUCAUCACUGGUAAUCUACCAAAUUGAACUGAUGAUUGAAUCAUCUAGAUAUAACCAGGCUUAAUUUCAAAAUUGUUUGCGUUAAUGGGAGGUCUUCUGAUACUUUGGUACAAGCCUUGCAAGAAAGGAACUAUAUAAUCCGGCAAGGACUUGUUCUCUUCAAGAAUCUGAUUAAUGGCAUUGUUGCCAUUAUUGUCGUUGUGUUCAACCAUUGUUUGGUUGGGAGUUAUAGCUUGCAAAAUUUCCCUUCGAAGUCUAUGAAAAAUUCUUUAUAUCUCUGGAUCAAAGGGAACAACAUUCAAGUUUCUUCCCCUUGGCAUACAAUGACCAAAGAUAUCUAAAACUAGAAAAAACAAAGUUUGAAGUAAGACUAACUUUCCUUCGUAUUAAUUUUAAUAAAAAUUCUAGAAAAUAAUUUCCCUAACAACGACUCCCAAAACUUGUUAUUUAUUUUUCUACCCAUGCAAAUAUACAUAUCGAACAGAUAAUAUAAUGGCAAGUAGAAUGUCAAUCUCACAGAAAAUUGAUUUAAAAUGUUGUUAAGUACUAAAAUUAUAACAAUUUAGUCUUAUCCAAACAAUCGAAAUUAAUUAAUUAAUUAAACUAAAAAUUAAAUAAAACUAAAUCACAAAUAAUUAGACUAAAAAUCAUAGCAAUAAUAAAUAGAGAAAAAUCAAUUUAAAUAAGCCUAGGAUUACAAUGUCCCUCACACUUCAUCUAAAUCUUACCUCUCCCUCUCUUAACUUAUUUCAAUGGAUUGACUUGUUAACUUAAAGUUCUCAAUUAUUUAUAAAACUCUCCCGAAACUCUUAUAAAAAUAUCUAUUUUAAUAAAAACACUAUAUUCCUAUGUGAAUUGAAAUUAAUAGACUCAUUAAGUUUAGGCUCUAAUCUUGGCUACGUACGACAUAUAGGUAUAUUCCUAUCCUAUACACAAAUCAAUUUAUUCAUCCAAACAAAUAAAUGUGAUCAUAUGCUAUUCCAAUCAUGGCCUACACUAAACUCCCUUAGCCAUGUUAUAUUUAGGUUUUCAAAUCAAUUUAAUUGGUAGCCAAGCAAUUAAAAGCAUUAAGAACAACUUGGAAUAAACAAAACAAUACCAUUGAAAAUAAGCAAGAAAGAGAUUAAAAAUUUAAACUACAUGUGAGUACAAUUGCAAUUCUAGAGAAAAGAAAUUAGCUACUUAUAAUUGAAAUAAAAAUCAUUCGAAAUUUAACCACAAAAAAUACAAGAAUAAUAAAAAGUAUAAGGAAGAAAAAAACAAAGAUUGUUAGUCUUGAUCUUUAGUCUUCCAUUUUGGAGGCUUGGCUUCUUGAAUUUCUGGUGCUAACUUCUCUAGAAAAAGGUCAAAAUACCCACCAAGUCCUUGUACCCAUGUAUUUUGUUCAAUUUAGUCACUAUACUCCAAAUUGAAGUAAUGUAGUCUCUUGAUUUUGGGAAUUGCUUCAAUUUAGUCCCUCCCUCUAACGACAUCCAAUUUUGUAGUUAAAAGAAUGACAUUAGCGCUGACAUCAGUGUUGAUGUGGCACAUUUUGAUGAUGUGGCAUUAGGGAUGUCAACGGGUACCCUAUAAUAGGGUACCUACAAGUACCCGACUCAAUUAAACUGGAUUAGGGUACCUAAUAAAUGGGUUCUGGUAAGGUUCGGGUAGUGAUUUCACUACCUGAAUCGGGUUCGGGUCAGGUUCAAGUAUCACCUUAGGGUACCCGUUACCCGAACCCGAUUAUGUUAUAUUCAGGUUUGGCGGGUACCUGCCCCGAACCUGUUUAUAUAUUUUUUUAUUAUUUAAAUAAUUAAAUAAAACUGAUGUUGAUUGGAUUCGAACCCAGGUAAGGAAAGAAGACAACCAAAGUCUAUACCAUCUUGAAGAGCAGUUUCUUUUGUUAAAUGUUGACAAAAAUAUUAAAAAUAUAGUUAAUUAAAUUAUUAAUGUAAUGACGUUAAUAUAUAUAAAUAAAAAAAUUAUUAGAUUACCUAGGAAGAAGAUUUUAAUAAUUUUUUAAUUUAAUUAGGUUUUUAAACAAGUUAGGGUGAUUAUAGGGUGGUAAAAAUGUAAUAAGGUUAGGGUUAGGGUAGUAAUUUUAAAAUUAUUCGGGUAGUUAAUAGGGUUAAGGUAGUUGAUUUUUUAUAAGGUUAGGGUUUGGGUACCUCAAAAUUAUAGGGUACCCGACCUGUUGACAUCCCUACGUGGCAUGCCACAUGGCACUGAUGUGAUGACAUGGUAAUGACACGUGGCACUAAUAUGAUGGCAUGGCAAUGCUGAUGUGGCACUAACAUGCUGGCAUGUCAAUUCCAUGUGGUAAAUAAAAAAUUUUCCAAAAAAAAUUUUUAUGCCACGUCAUAGGGACUAAAUUAAACAAAAAUAUAUAGUACAAGGAUUAAAUUGAAUAAAAAUAUAUAGUACAGGGACUAAAUUGAACAAAAUUGAGAUGUUGAGGAACUAAAUUGAAAAAAAUAUUUGAAAAAUACAAAUCUUUAAAUAGAUGAUAGAUACACUUAUUAAUAAACCAAAUUUUUAAGUGUAAAAGAUUUAUGGUGUUAAAAAAUAUAUAUAAAUAUUUUCUUACUUGAGUAUUUAAAUCUAGAAUAUGUACAUUAAUUUAUCUCUUUUGCAAAAAUUAAGUUUGAAAUCUCAUUUUAUAAAAAAGUUUCAAAAAAAAUUUCAUACCUAAAGUCAAAUUUAGAUGAAUAACUACAUUAUGUUAGAAUAAAAUAAUAUGAAAAGACUAAAUAAUUUUUUCUUUUAUUUAUAAUAGUAAAAAAAUUUGAAAUUUUUUUAACUUAGUUUUUAACUUAAGCUGAACUCAUAUUAGUAAAAUAGGUUGAUUUAGUUUUUUCUUUUAAAAUAAAGAAGAACGGAGAUGUGGAGUUAGUGAUGAUUAUAAAAAUAAUCCUUCAUUCUGACUUGUUUAAUUUGGGCAUGGCAUAGAAUUUGAGUUACUUCACCCCUUCAAAUUUUUAUUUGUUUUUAAUGUUUUUAUUUUGUUUAAUAUUUCAAGUUAUAUUUUUUACGUUGAAAUUUCAUGAAUUAAAGACUACAUUUAUAGUUAAUAGAGUUAAAUAUAAUUGUAAAUAUUUGUAUAAUUUCAUUUUGUAUUUAUAAAUUUUUUGUAGAUCCAAAUUAAUAAUUUAAAUUUAAAUUUAGCAGAAUUUGAUUGUAACAUUUGAACUUAAAUAAAAUCAUUUUAUAAGAAAUUUUGAGUAAAUUUAAAAAAAAAUGUAAAUUGGGUAAGAAUUGAAUAAUUCCAAAAGAAUAGGUAUUUGUAAAUUAUGAAAGUUGUAACUAAAUCAACCUAUUUGGCUAAUUUGAGUUCAGCUCAAGUUAAAAAUUAAGUCAAAUAAAUUUCAAAUUUUUAUACUAUUAUAAAAAAAGAAAAACAUUAUUUAGUCCUUUGAUAUUAUUUUAUUCCAACAUAAUACAAGUUAUUUAUCUAAAUUUGACUUUAGGUAUGAAAUUAUUUUCAAAAUGUUUUUAUAGAAAGAGAAUUUAAACUUAAUUUAUGUAAAAAAUAUAAAUUAAUGUACAUAUUUAAGAAUCAAAUAAUCAAGUAAGAAAAUAUUUAUAUAUAUUUUUUAACACCAUUAAUCGUUUACACUUAAAUAUUUAGCUUAUUAAUAAGUAUAUUUAUCAUCUACUUAAAGAUUUGUAUUUGUUAAAUAUUUUCUUUAAUUUAGUCCCUCAACAUCUCAAUUUAGUUCAAUUUAGUCCCUGUACUAUAUAUUUUUAUUCAAUGGAGUCCCUAUGAUGUGGCAUAAAAAAAUUUUUUUAAAAAUUUUUGAUCUGCUAUGUCGAGUCUCUUUAUUAAUUUCACAUCAUACCAUAAGUGCCACAUGGCAUGCCACGUCAUCAAAGUGUGCCAUGUCAGCGCUGACAUAAUCUUUUUAAUGGCAAAAUUAGAUACCAUUACAAAGAGGGAUAAAAUUGAAGCAAUUCUCAAAAUUAAUUAACUAAAUUUCUUCGAUUUGAGUACAAAGACUAAAUUGAAUAAAAUGCAUAAGUACAGAGAUUUGGUGGGUAUUUUGACAAAAAAAAAACUAAAAACUUUUUCUUUUUCUCCCUUAACCUAAACCAAGCAUAAUUAACUAUUUAUAGAGGCUUAUAGUAGGUGUUAAAACCACAUUAGGACUCCUUUAUCUUCCAAAACAUGCACCAGCCCGCAACCUUCAGCAUAUGGGCUAAAAAUAUAAAAAUUGGGUUCGACUCUGUUGCCAAGGCCUUUAAUGCUGCAGCUCUAGCUUGGCUUUAAGUUUUUUGCGGCACUCUAUCAAAUUUCAAUGUAAUUUUCUCCAACGUAGAAGUAGAACUGGGCAAGUAUUCUUCAUGACAGUUGUAGCUCUAUCUUUUAUCUUUCCAAUGAAACAAGAAUAACUUCAUUUGGACAUCUGGAGUGGAAGUUAUUCUCAAAAUAUCACAAUAUGUACGAAUAGAGUCUUGGUCCUUUAAACACUUUUCUUCACCAAUUUGAAGUCUUAUUUCUUAAAGUCCUACAAAAACAUUAAAACUAAUAAAUAAUAACUAAACUAAAGCAAAUAAACAUAAAAUAGGAUAAAAUAAAAUAACUUAAUAAAAAUAAACUAAUUAGAAAAUAACAAAAAAUAUUUGAAUUUUAAUCUAAACUCAAAAACUUAGUUAACUUUUAAGAACAAAAUGAGACAAAAUAAAUCUAUAAAUAGAAUUAUCAAACACAAAGGUUCUUGAAGCAACACAAGAGUGAAAAUAAGAGAGAAAAAAAAGAAAGGAAAGUUUGAGAGAAAUGAAAUUUUAUUCCCAAACUUGAUGUGUUUUACAAAUGAACAUAAGGAAUAUUUAUAGGCGUAACUAGCCUCCUUAUCUAACUUAUCUAUAAUUAAAUUUUAAAAUAAAUGACGAAGGCAUUCAAAUUUCAAUAUUCACUUUAUCUAUAUCAUUCAAAUUUGGAUAUACACCCUAUCUGCAUAAAAAUUUAAAAUACAUCAACUUAUCUACACUUUUAAAAAAUUAUGCAAACACUACUACCUUUUGGUACGCGAAUGAGCUAGCUUGUCUAUUGGGUUAGUCAACUGACUAGCCUAAGUUGUUUGCCUGUCAGGAAUAGGAGUGAGCAAAGUCGGUUGUGGGUCAGUUUCGGUUGAUUUUUCGUAAAAACAAUCACAAAUUUCCACCAAAUUAACCGACCAAACCGCAACCUCCCCAAAAUCGGUUUUGGUCAAUUUUUAUGAUAGGCUGGUUGGUCGAUUUCGAUGCGAUUUUAGGAGACUGUGGGCUUAGUUUGAUUUUAAUGAGAAGCAUCAAUAAUAAGCACUAGUAUGGCUGUAUGAGACGGUUGCUGGCUUAGGGUUCAGUUGGAGAGGCAGGAGGUGGCAAGGAAAAAGAAAAAUAAGAGGGGUCGGGCCGUCAGGGGAAAGGGAAAAAAUAUGAGAGUUAGGCUCUGGCGGUCUGCAAAAGUGAAAAGUAGGUUUUGGGUCUUUUGAGGGUGAAUUUACUCUUUUACCCUUAUGGGGGGCGAAAAGGGAAAGUAUUUAAUGAGGGGCAUUUUUGUACUUCCACCAUCCAUGAAAACCAAGGCAAUCAUUGGUCGGUUUGGGGGGGGAAGGAGUCCCCCCCGAGGGUCGAGCCGAUCAGCCGACAAGGCUUAUUGGCAUGACCAACAAUUGCUAUUGCAACCGACCGCUGCACACUCCUAGCCAAGAUCGUUGGCUUGCUUGGGCUAUUGGUUUGCUUGGGUUGCUGACGUGCUUGAUUAUGCUACUGGCAUAUUGGCCUGCCCAACUGCUGACCACUCGACUCAUGACACGAUGGCUUGGUUGCUAAUACUAUUUCGACUUUUUUUACAUUUUUUGCUUAUCUCAAUUUUGGUUAGUAGCCCUCUUUCCUUUUUUUUUUUUUCACAACUAUGUCAACAGCUCUAAUAUGAUACUAAAAAUAGUAAUAGUAUAUUUUCCUCAUUUUCUUUAGUCAUUUUUUAUAUGUUUCAAAAUAAUUUUUUAUUAUUCUUAGACACUUAAUACUCUUUUUUAUAAAAUAAAAAAUUUCUGUUUUGAAUUUAUUGCUAUUAAUAUAUUAGGUGGCACCUAAGAUAGAGUAUGUCUUAGAUCGUGAAUGUUAUAACAUCCUUGUAGAGUUACCUAGACUUGACUGUAAAAGACGAGAAGGUGGGAAGGUCAGUCUGGAAACAAGACUGAUCCUAAGCUUGGCCCAUAGUAACGGCCCGUAAUACAAGCUGAACAUAUUCUACCCAUUAUUUUAAGGGCCUACAGAGUGAGCUCUCCAGGUCUAUUCAAUAAAUCAACCCAAAAUGAGCCUACUUUGAUGACUUGGCUGCUACACUAUCUCGGCUUGUUGGUUUUCUUCUGAACUUGGUUUUGGCUAAGUAGUAGCCCUCUUUUAUUUUCUUUUUUCACAACCGAGUUAGCAACUCUAACAUAACAAUAAAAAUAAUAAUAGAAUUUUUUUUUCAUUUUUCUAAAAUUUUUCAAAAUAAUUUUUUAGACACUCAAUACUCUUUUUAUUAUAAAUUUAUUUUUCAUAAAAUUUAUUUUACUCUUUUAUAUAAAAAUAUUAAAAGAAAUUUAAAUUUCAAUAUAAAAAUAAUAAUUUUUAUAUUAAAUUUGAUAACAAUCAAAGAAAGAGACAGUAGUAUUUUGUUAGGCAAAAGAUGCUUUGACAAUUUUUAUGUUAGUAAAUAAGACGUGCUGAUAUGGGUGAAGGGCUCCGCUGAUUGACCGACAUGCUCGUGGCAGUUGAUAGAUACUUUGUGAGAAGUGGAGGCAUAAAGAAAGGAAAGGAAAGAGGAGACGAUGGGAAGCGUGCCUGAAUUCCUGUAAAAAUUCAGGCUUUUACACAAGUGAAAGUGAAAGUGACUACCAAUCACAUACAAUUAAAGUUGGAGUAUUUUUAUUUUCUGUUUGCUUUGGUGUAGUGAAUCGAUUGCAUCUAGAUAUGCCGGGUAUCCUGGUGGCAAGCAUUCAAGCUGCGCCGACUGCAAAAUUCUACCACGUCAUUUUCACGUAAUCUUUCAACUAGUAUUCUACGUCAUAGAUUGAUUUAUUUUAAAUGACAAUCUUUCUACAAUCUAUUUCUCCUUAUUUUCUUUUGUCCACCUGAUAAAAAUUUUUGAAAAUAUGAAUGACACGUGAUAUUAAAAUUUGUUCAACUCAUUUUUAAUGUGAAAAUGUUUUUUAAAAAUAUUAAAAUCGAUAUAAAUUUGAGUUGAGAUAUAUUUCUCCAUUCUGUAAUUAAAAAAUAAUAUUUUUUAUUAUAUAAAUAUAUUUUUUAAAUUAAAAAUGUGAGUUAAUAGACAUUAUAAGAAAUUGGUUUUUUUGGACAAAAACGUUGAUGUAAUAUUUUUGGAACGGAAAGAAUUCGUGUCUGUCUCCAGUUCGAAACAGAGGAGAAAUGAACAACCGAAAGAUCAACUACACUCAACCUAUGGUUACUGGUUGCAGUAGCAGUGAUAAUGAAAAUGAAAAUGUUGGUAACAAGAUAAAGAAGCCGAGGGCGUGACAUAAGCAAUAAUUACUCUGACCUCACUCUGGUUGGAAGUGUGGCUUACAGCGUAGAUUUACCCAAAUAAAGCGGGUUUCUGACAGCGGCGCCGCCCCAAACAGACUGCAACAGAAAAUCAAGAAGCAACAGAUUGGCAAUAGUGACUUUGAUUUUGUCAACAGUUAAUAGUUAAUAGCAACAGAGUCAUAAGGCAAGGAAAGAAACUGAAGGGCAAUAAUCUCAUUCUCCACGCCAAAUUAAUAAUGAUCCCAAUAAUAAUAACACCACCCUACGCUCCCACCUUUGAUAUUUGUUGCCGAUGGAGGGUCCCACCUCCAUAUAUUUAUUAAUUUUUAUUUCACUUUAAUUGCUAUAAUUAUCCUUUAAGGAAUUAUAAAGCAUAUAGCAAUUUUUUAAGUAUAAUUUUCUAAAUCAAUCAACCUAAAUCCUGGGACAUGUUAUCGUGAAAGCCAAUGUCUCAAACAGACUGAGACUAACAGAACUAGGCUCAGAGCAAAAACUUAUUAUUUUAGUAUAUUAAAUUUUAAAUUUUAAUUAAUUUAAUAGCAACAUUGUUAUUUAAGGUAGAAGUUAAAUAUCUAUCAUAAACAAAUAAUGGAUCAAAGAUAAAAAUAUUUCAAGAGCGAUCUAAGUGCCUCACUUUAUACGGAUUCAUACUAUUUCUUUCUUUAGAGUUUUAAAACUUGCUACUAAAUAAUUCUGCUAGUCAAUUAAGUAAUAAUGUUUAACUAUUUAUAUAUGGCGUAUAUAAAAUCUUACUAAUGGGCUUCUAACUCAACUCUAAUUACAAGUUCGAUAACGUCUAUGUGGAUGUAUUAAUGGGUUUGGGUCCACUUAUUUCAAACCCUAGUUCAACAAGAAAUAUUGAAAUCUGAAAGAAAGAUAUGCGUAAUCCUCAGAGAUCUCUUUACAAUUGUGAGUCCAAGUCCAUAACAUCUAAUGACUAAUAUUUUAUUUGAAAACUUUUUUAAUUUAAUUUUAUUAUAUUAAUUUCAUACAAUAAUUAAAAAAUCUUAUUUACCUACUAAAUUACAAUAACUUUCAUCAAUACAUUUGCAACUCAUCCAUCCAGAGAAAAGAAUUAUUAAUAAGGUUCAUUUCAUUAUAAUUUUUACUAAUCACUCCUUUCACCAUCUCAUAUUUCUCAUAGAUUUUACGGAUAAAUAAUUUUCACUAUCACAUCCAAUCUAUUUAGUAUCAAUAAAUGAUUUUCAUUCUUUCUAACUUUCAAAAAAAAUGUUUUUUAAAAAUAUUUGUAUAUAAUAUUAUUAUCAAUAAUACAAUUUCAAAAUAAUUUUAAAAAAUACAUGAAUCGGAUUUUUUGAAUCCAACAAUCUUAUAAAAUUGCUCAAAAAUCUUUUCUCAAUAGUUAAUGAUGAAUUCUUCAUUGAGCAUCCAAUAUAAUUUAUUUAGCAUUAUAUAACCCAUUGUACUAGGGUAUAACUUUUUAAAUUCAUUAUCACUUGUUGGCAACAUCAAUAUAAAUAUUAAAUAAAUUAUAUUAACCUCUGAAGUCUAAGGUCAACUAAUAAAUUAUAAUAGAACUCCCAUUUAAUUAUUGAGGCCAAUAAACUUAUUUAGUACUCUUUUUUUUUUUGAAAAGAUAUGAUAUUCUUUAAUUAGAUCCUAUUCAAUAUACGCACACACAUACACACUACAUUUGCUUAAAAGGUCAUUAUCGCAAUGACAGCGUUAAGCAUUCUAUCUUUUGAUAGGGGCAUAAUAAUUGUAAGUUUUCAACAUUUUGUCACAUCUACAACUCAUAAUAAUUUUGGUAAACAAGAUAAUGAAGAAUUAUAACUCCUCACUUAAUAGUUCAUCAACUAUUCGUAUAAUAUUUCUACAUUGUCACCAAAUAUUAAUCACACACACACACACACAUAUAUAUAUAUAUAUAUAUAUAUAUAUAUAUAUAUAUAUAUAUAUAUAUAUGAGAAUUAAGAAUUUUAUUGCAAGUAGCCAUAAAAAAAUAUCUAUGGACUUGGAGUUUACAAUAAAAUAAAUCCAAGUACAAAAAAUAACCCCAAUAAAAUGUCCAAACAAUCGAAUUUAAGGAUAUCCGACUUACACAAGAGAACCCAAACCAAAAUCCAAAUCCAGACAAUGCUAAAAUUUAGCAAGAGCUCAUGUCAAGACUCAUUAAUUAUCUUGCAUUUUGCACUAUAUGAAUAUCAUCUUAAUGGACUAGUUUUCCACUUCUUCAAACUCAGCAAUUAUCCAACUCUAAGCUACUUAAAAGAAUUUGAAUCCAAACAAAAUUCCACCCCAAAAAUAAGGCUUAAUCCACCCAAAGACUCAACCACACAUACACUACAACCACCAAUGUUAAUUAAAACUAUAAAAUCAAACUUUCUCUUCUAUUAAUUUUGGCUUUCGCUAGUAGAUCAGCCUCUUCAUUUGCUUCACGAAAAACAUGAGCAACUUUACAUUGGAUUGUUAAGUUCUUUAACUGGGGGAUGUUAUGAUGGAUGCGAAUUUAUUUUUGUAUAUACGGCUAUUAGGCCAUGAAUAAUUUGGUAUGUGGCUAUAGAUGUAUGUGGGACUAAUAGGCCAUGAUUAAUGACGAAGAAUGUGGCAUGUAUUUAUAUGUGAAUAAUAGAGGCAUUGAAGGCCUGAAUGUGAUUAUAUUUCGUUUGAGUAAUUCUAGACAUUGAUUUGAAUAGUGGUUCAGUGACGUCUUCCCAGUGAUUAUGUAAUUGAUUCCACUUGUUGAGAGAUUAGUCCAGGUGAUGAUUAUGCUUGUGAUUCCACUCGUUGGGAGAUUACUCUAGGUGAUAACUAUGCUUGUGAUUCCACCUGUCAAGAGAUUACUUUGGGUGAUGACUAUGCUUGUAAGGCCACUAUCGGGAGAUUACUCCAAGUGAUGAUUAUGUUGUGAUACCACUAAUCGAGAGAUUACUCCGAGUGAUGAUUAUGUUGUGGUGCCACUUGUCGGGAGACUACUCCGGAUGACGACCAUGAUUGUAACGUCAUUCGUUGGGAGAUUACUUCGAUUGAGCGAUUCGAUUCUACUAGUUAGCCACCAUGCAUGACUUGUUUACAUAAUCGGGGGGGAGGGGGGGGAAGAGCACUCAUUAGACAUGAAGAUUACAAGAUGGUGGCUUAAGGUAAGCCCUAAAUUAUAAUGCUCACCUUGGAGAUGUUAAUUAUUGAAAAUAAGAGUGUCGUUAAGCUGUACUUUCGGCAAGGUAAGAUUGGAACAAGGUGCAUUUAGGAUAGUAGCAUGAUCCUUGCACUUGUAUUUGGAGACGAUUAAUAAACAGCCUGUUGGCUCAUCAUAUUUGUGUAUUCUCAUUAUUGUAUGACAUGAUGUAUUAUGCUAUGUUUAACAUCCCUAUCUCACUGAGUAUCAAGAUGACUCACCCAUUUUGUGUACUAUGUGCAGAUAAGUGACGCCAUUGAUUUUACAUGGCUUAGUGUCGUGGUUGGAUGAACAAGAUUUUGACAAUCAGUAGGUACUCUUCAAAAGUGUCAACUUCGUUAAGUCUGAGUUAUGAAAAACGUACUGAUAACUCUAUAAUAUAAAAUUAUUUGGGCUUAAUUUUUAUAAUAAUUUGGCUUAGUUCUUAUAGUAAUGCAUAGAAAUUAGUAGGUUUUAUUUAAUUAUUUUAAAUUAGUUAUUUUGGGUGAGUCAAUCUAAUCUUAGUUAAUUUUAUGCUUAAUUUGGUGUUAAUGUAGUUAAGAUAGGUUGUCAUUGAUUUAUUUGUGCUUUUGUAGGUGUUUGAUGAAAGAAGAAUUUUAAUGAAAGAAGGAUGAGCAAUUUCAAGGUGUAGACUUCCAAUGCAUAUGUUUCGGUAUUUUGGCCAUAACUGUCACGAUCCAGUACUCUCCUCUAGCCCGUGACAACCGUCGCGUUGUUCCGAUAGACAUUCAUUACCCAGAAUGCCAACCGAAACCCCGCAAGGCUUUAAUAUCAAUUUUCGCACCUCCCUUGUGAGCAACAGUCAUUAACUAUCAUAUUUUGAGAGAUUAUAAACUAUUUCCAAAUCAAAACAAUAGAAAAAUAAUUUUUCGCUCACAAGGGCAUUUUGGUCAUUUUUCCUCAAAAGUCUCGAAACCAGCUAAAAGUAUAGUAUGCGAGUAUAAAACACAUAAUUCAUAAUCAAAAAUAAGUUUGGAUAUCUAAAACAUUCAUUUAAAAUGAAAUUAUAACUAUUUGAAGAUAAUAUAAAUAAUCAAUAAAAUAUUCUAUUUUCUUAUAAAACAAUAUUUAUAGAGUUACCGAUAAAUAAUUUUUAUAGCGUAAAAGCUAAAUAAAUUCAUACAUACUAUAAUACAGAUAACCAAAGUAUAAAUUUAAUUUACAAUGACACGUGGGCCCACGAACGACCAAAACUAAUGAAGGUUAUGAACCUACAGUUUUUGAGGAUACAAGUCCAACUGUAGCCUUCAAAGAAAUGAGCUAUCUACCGACUAUCCUAAGCUUGAAAUUGGUGGAAAUGAGGGUGGUGAGAUUAUAUAAUCCCAGUGAGUAAACAAAUAUUAUCUAAAAUAUCUAAAGCUGAGUAAAUAGAGAUAGAUAAAAUAGUUUAACAUACUGUAAUUUAUCACCUUUCAACUCAUUUCAACCAAAUAAAAUCAAUUCAUAUAAAUCGAGUAAUCAACAUGGCUUAUGAAUUUCUUAAAAGCUUUGGCUCGUGCCAAAAUCAUUCUUAUACUCAGUUAUUAGGGAUACCUUGAUCGAGGGCUAUCCCAACCGAGUUCGCCAAGGCUGAUAAAAAGUUAUGUACGCAUAAAUCAUGUUUUUAUUUUGAAAACAUAGCCGUUCCUUAGCGUUGGCUAAGUUCACCCUCACGUGGUGGUUUAGCGUGAAGUGAACUCUAAAGUGUUAACCUCAAGAGUUAUCCAUCCGCGCCUUUCAUACUGAGGUAUGAAUAUAAUAGGGUUACCGUGCCCCCUCUAAUAGGCUGGUCCACGGAACUCGUCCACUGCAGCGACUAAUCAAUAACCCACCAAUUUAAUAAAAUUCAACAGCAUGACAUGGCAAUUUUAUCAUUAUCUAGCUUAUUAAGGCAAACAACAGUUUAUACAUUUUCAACACAAAUAUCAAUUCAGCCAUUCAUGCUAAUAUUGCCAUAAGCCAAUCAAUUAGAACUAUAAAUUCACAAUACAUCAAAUGGUCUCCAAUUACUCUAUUUUCAAAGCAAUCAUUCAAUUUCAAGACAAUUUAUAAAAUCAUUUCAUUUAAACACAUUUUGUUUAUAAAACAUAAAGAUUUACCAUUUAAACUCAUUUUCCAUAAAAUCACAAAAUCGAAUAAAAACCACUUUAGAUAAUUAAGACGAUAGUAAGGUUACUCACUAUUUUAGGAGUCGAAUUCCGAAUACUCCGAUUCUUGAUCCUCGGGUACUAUUUCUUUACUUUUUCCAGAAUGCUCACCACCUAAACAUAAUGCACAAUAAGCCAUUUACUACAUUUGUGCUAAAUUGUUAUAAAACCAAUUCAGGCUCUAUACUAAUGCAUGAAAUGGAAUGCAAAUUGUUCGGAUUAUCGUCUAAACAUGGUGUUCUACACAAAUUCAAUUGUGUACCCAAAUAAAAUGGUAUUGGCCUAAUUCGAUUUAUCACCCGAUUAAAUGGCCAAUAUGUCCAAUUUAACUCCAAAUAAUUUUAUUUUUCUCCCAAUACUCCAAAUCAUCAAACACAAAUCAAAUAGCAUAAAAUUCAGCAAAAUCAUCUUCACAUUUUCUCAUGGGAAUUUCGGCCAUGGUGGGUGCAUUAACAAUAUAAUUUUUCAAGCUUGAUUCUCACACCAUAAAUCACUAAUUCCUAACCAAAUCACUUGAAAUAAAAUCCAAAUCAUCCUCAAUAUUUCACAUGGAGAAUUCGGCCAAUGAUGGGUGAUGGAAGAACAUGAAUUUUUCUUGCUUGAUUUUCAUGCUACACAUCACCAAUAAACUAAAAACACUAAAAUACAUUGAAAUCUAACCAAAUCAAGCAUCAAAACCUCUCUCUAAGUGUUCAGCCAGCAAGAUACCCAUCAUGAAAUCAUGUGAUUCAACCAUGAAAAAUGCAAAAUAAUGCAUGGGAAAGGUAGAUCACAAGUCAAAAUCAAAAAAUUUUACCUUUGAUUGCUUGAUUACUUGAAAUCCACCAAUUUUCUCUUAAAUUUUCACCCUAGGGUUCUUGUUCUUUCUUUUCUUCCUUUGUUCUUCCUUUGGC
rnacentral:lncRNA from 1 species